rnacentral:lncRNA from 1 species
UUUUUUUUUCUGGUACAUAGUUUUGUUUUAUUAAAGACCAACUAAUGGUGUUUCCAUCUUCUGACAUUUGGUUUUAUUUUAGUCAAGCAUUGCUUAAGUAUUUGUUUACUGCGUGUACCCUGUGGGAGAAGGGAGUAGGGAGUAGCUGCAAGAUGGUAAAUCUGUCCCGGUUCUUCAAUCUUCAUUGUUUCAUUUGGUAUGCAUGUGGGUAGCUUGGCUGGCAGUCUGGCACUAUCCAACUUGGUUCAUGCACCUUUUUUACUAAAAUACCUGAAAUAUUUGGGUGCAUUAUAGAUGUAGGCCAACCUAGGAGGAAAUCGGUGGCUUCCUUUUUGUGAAGGAUAAAUUAGUUCCCAAAUUCGCCUUAAACAGUUGGAUGGUAUAUGGAUUAUUUUGCUCGACUUUUUUAUGGUCAUUGUACUAAUCCAAAAUGAUGGUUUCAAGUGUAUUGACAAGGAGGCUGGCCUGAGGUGUGAGUUGUUGAGGCGUGGCGCUGAUCCCAUUGAUGAUUAUUUAAUCAACCAAGGCAGAGUGAUACGCUCGUGUGCCUUGAGCCUAAUGAACUGCACUUCUGUUUAUUCCUCUGCUGCUAUGUUGGUACGUGCCUACCUUAAAACCCAACCUAAUAUUAUCAUCCAUCCAUGAGCCUUAAUGGGCCUAUCUUCCAUCCAUUCUUGAGCCUUUUGAACUGCACUUUGCAAAAUUUUGUUUUAACUUGUACUAGUAGCCUAUCGGCACUAACUAUAUACUGAGGGGUGCCUUCAAUUUAAGGGUAUAGCAAAGGAGGCUGAAAUGAUGUGUAUGUGGAUGCUUAAAAAUAACAAGCCUGUUGAUUUCUAUGAUGAUCCCAUACCUCAUGAGAUUCAAGACACACACAUAGUCCGGUCCGGUACCUUGAAUUUUAUGGUCAGCAUACUAGAAAAGUCUUCUGCUGAGCACAAGAUUGAUAAGGAAGAACCUGCUAGUAGAAGUGGUCCUCGUGGUGAUGGGUAUGGCAUUGCUGUUGAUGGAGCAGCAAACACCACAAGGUAUGGUUGUAUGGAUGGAUGUUGUUUUUCCUUCUUGAUGCAGCUACAUGAGUUAUAAGAGAAUUAGUUUGUUACUUCAUGAUAAGCAUUGUGAUACUAUGCCAUUUCACUGUAUUAUCACCAGGGGCAGCAUGGAAGAAGGUAACAAAGAAGCUGAUCACCAAAAUUAUGGUUGCCAUGAGCUUUUCAUAUUUCCCUUGCAAAACGCUCAUGUGUAAUGUUGUUUUCGUGUUAUUUUGAGAAGGUUUUUGGGAGAAACUAUGGGGUUGGGAAAGGCUGGUCCCACUAUGCAGUUAUGUUAAGUGGUCUGACUAUGGCAGAUAUCUUGAGGAGUAUUACAAACACAAUGCUAAUGAGUUUGUUGCUGCUGCUGCUGCCAAGAAUCCACAAAAUACCAAUACUACUGAUAUGGGUGCUGCUGUUGCCAAAUUCGUUAGUAACCUUCUUGCAUCCUUACUAUGACCAUUGGUUAUAUAACUGAAUCUGUUUGGGUAACAUAUUUCAAACUCAAUUUUUUUUGAAUUAGUGUCUCAAGAUGGAGGAGGAACUCCUGCGGUGUAGCCUGGAUGACGCCAGCACUAUCAUUGAGAGUAGCCUGAUCAAGGACCGUGCACUUAAAAUCUGUGGCACCAGGGAUAUUCCUUCUAUUGUUGCUUUUGUGGUAUGUGCCUACCUUGCCUGAAGAGGCCAAGCAAAACAUUUUUUUUUACUGUACCAGGAAUGCUAUUCCUUUCGGAAUCCUAGUGAUUGAAUUUGUGCUGCUAUUAAGAAAAAUAGGGGGUGGAAGAAAAUGAAAAACCUUACAUGUAGGCUUGAAGAUACUACCUGGAUGGUGUUUAAAUUUUGGUAGCUGCACAAAUUAACUGGUGCAAAUUUAGAUAAUCAGCGGUAAGAAUUAGUAGCCUGUUUCAAUUCUGGUCUUGGCUCCACACUACUGUUUUGUGGUAGUUGAAAGGAUGGCCAAACAAAGUUGAGUGUUACACUUGAAAGCUUCAAUUGUUGCUCUUUUAAUUAAAUGUGGCAAACAUAUAUAUUAUAUUGACUCGUGUGUAGGAGUGUUUGCACAAUGUUUAAUUAUGGCCUUAUGAACCAAGUCUUAAAUGUUUACUGUUUCACUUUUCCAUGUGGAUGGAUUGGACUAGUUCUAUCGAACUCAGCACAUGCACAUACAGUAAGCAGUAGUUCUUUGGGUAGAAUAUAGGGUAUUUUUAUUCUUGCUAUGGUCUUUUGAUUAAUGCCUAACAUUGGUUUCCAGUGUAUUUAAAGAGGAGGCUGACCUGAUGUGUGAGCUGCUGAAGCAUGGUGCUAAGCCUUCUGAUGACAUCAUCCAGCUGAGCAGCGUGAUCCGCAUGUGCGCCUUGAGCCUUGUGUACCUCAGAGAACCCCAAUCUAUUGCUUCCGCCGCUGCAAUGGUGGUUAGUGCCCUACCCCCAUCCUGCCUCCCGCCAAUAUGUAUGCCCAAUUUUAACAAGUAUAUCUAUUCAUUUCUUUUUUGUAAAUUUACCUACAUAUUGACACUGGUUGCAAAAUGAUGAAUGUAUUCGAUCCAAGGGUAUGGCAAAUGAGGCUAAAAGGAUGUGUGAUUGGAUGAAGAGAGAGAACAGGCUUAGUACCUUCAGCUUGCCUCAGCCUCGUGAGCUCCACCGGAGCUGCUUGAUCCGGAUGAAAGCCUUGGAUGUUAUGACCAGAAUGUUGCAUGAGUGUUUCUUUUCUUCCUCCAAGGUUAGUGGAAAAUACUUUUUUUUUGGUUCAUGGCAAUAGGUUGACAUAAUUUUAUGCAUUUCUGGUCUAGCCAAAUACUGUUCGCACUGCCGCAACCUCGGGCCAUCCUGAUGCUCUUCCAGAAGAAGGCGCCAGCUCCCAGGCUUCAGUCGAAGACACGCCCAAGCCCAAGCCCAACAAACCUGAUGCUCUUCCAGAAGAAGGUGCCGGCUCCCAGGCUUCAGUCGAAGACUCGCCCAAGCCCAAGCCCAACAAACCUGAUGCUCUUCCAGAAGAAGGCGCCGGCUCCCAGGCUUCAGUCGAAGACUCGCCCAAGCCCAAGCCCAACAAACCUGAUGCUGUUCCAGAAGAAGGCGCCGGCUCCCAGGCUUCAGUCGAAGACUCGCCCAAUCCCAAGCGCCAGCCCAAUCCCAACAAGACUUAAGCUGGCUCAGAAUGGGAAGUCUAGCUAUAAGAUGUAGCGACUAGUGAGUGCGUCUGAGUCUGUAUCGAACAAAGGAACUCCUGAAUUCAAACUGAAUCAUUCCUCCUACCUGCUCCUUCCUCCCUGCUCUCUAUUCCCCAUUGCUCGUGCUGCUAACAAAUACUCACCGUAGUUGUGACUAAUUUUUCUUUUUUCCCCAGCCUUUUCAUUUCUGGACAUCUGUUAUUGUAUUUGUACUGGUUCACAUACUAGUCAUGUUUGGCACAAUGUUCUUGUCUGGUAUGCAAGAGCCAAGAAACAUUUAGGCCCCCUUUCGAAUAUAGGAGAAACAUAGGAAAAAUAUAGAAUUGAGUUCCUUGGUGUUAUUUUCUUAUUGUCUCCUCACUUGAACAAGGAGGGCAAUUAUGAGAUAUGGAUGUGUUGGCGCUAGAAAUCGGUCAACCGAAUCCCAGCGACCAACACACGACCCGGGAGAAUCUGCUUAGCUCCUGUUCGGGUGAAUGCCCUGGUGCGGUUCACGCGGCGUGCCAGCCAAUCUGACCUGUUGAUUGGCAAGGAGGAAUACGUGUCAGGUUCAGAAAUCGCGAUCGGCUAUGUUCCGAUCUUAAGAGAGUUUAUCAGCGAGUCGGCCGAUUUACUAUGAUAACGAAAUCGGCUAUAAGACAGCCCGAUCUCUGUAGCCUUGUAGACAGGAAAUUGCUAAAGUAAUCGGUACAAAGCUAUGAUAACAACACUAGGAAAAGAUCUAAUCGGCAAUAGAUGAAUUUAAUAGCAGAACGUGGAAAGAGCCGAGACUACCGAUUCCUAGCUGGAUAACUGGUGAUAAAGACUAGAAAAAUAGGUAAAACCUAUGAAUCUAGCAAAUAUCGAUAACUAGUGAAUAAAUCUAAACGAAACAACAGCGAUACGCCCGAAGUUAAAGCUUAGAUAUUACUCGAUAAACGGAACUUACAGAAUCGGCCGGAGAUCAAGAUGAUGCAGCCCUGCCAACCCGCACGAACUCGUGAGAAACGAAAAGUGAUGGCGAAGUCGCCUGCUCGAAAGUAAGUACGAAGAGAAAGUAGCUUGUUGUAUUGAUUGAUUGAUGACUACAGAUUUACAAAGGUAGCUAUUUAUAGCCCCGUACAGAUAACUUCUUAACCGACUAGAAUUCUAUCCCUAAUUCAAACAGAAAACGAAUAUCUACAAGCACAAUUCGUGCUAGGUUGGUUACUCCAUGUUGGAGGUAUGCCCUAGAGGCAAUCAUAGAGAUGAUGAUAUUCCAUUUGUAUCCAUGAUUUGUAUAUUGUGUUCAUUGAAUAUCCAUUAAAGGCUACUUGAAUUGAUUUGCAAUUAUGUGAAUUGUAUGUGAAACUCUUUACUUGUAUGGUUAUUCUAAAGUUGUCCCUAGUCGGAGUUCAUGUGAGGACACACAUGAAUAUUAGACUAGCACAUGUAUUAGUUGAUGACUAUGUUUCACAAGUCAUGGACAUGGAGAUGUUGAACUAAUAAUGUGGACACAUGUGGAGACAUGUGCUAGGACUGACCCAACACGAGAAGUAGUUCUCUCUUUAAACAACAUAUACGCUUUGUCCUUAGACCUGAGAUUGUCGCAUGUAUUCUAGAUGUGGAUCGACCUACUUAGGGGCUAUCAAACGCUACGCCGUAACAGGGUAGUUAUAAAGGUAGCUUUCGGGUUUGUCAAGAAGCGUGCUAUGAGACAUGGUCAAUCAAGAUGGGAUUUGCCCCUCUCUGAUUGAGAGUGAUAUCUCUGGGCCCCUCGAGUGAUCGGAUCCGAAAAUGCAUGGCCAUGCUACAUACGGUUAAGAGUUAACCUACAAAGGGAUUCCGAAUCACAGGAUCGAGAAAGAGCGGUCGGCUUGAAGCUAGACCAAAUAUCGUGAGGCAAAGGGAAUAGCAUAUAUAUUAUGUUGUGAUGGUUCGUCUGAUAUGAUCUUCGUGUACGUAUAGGAGUUGGCACGUCUUGCUAGAGGCCGCUACCGACUAUUGGGUCGAGUAGGAGUACUCGGGCCAUGUCUAUACGUAUCUGAACCCAUAGGGUCACACACUUAAGGGGCUGGAAGCCCAAUUCGGAUCUGAUCCGAGUUGGAUUAGGUUUAGAAGUACUAAUGGGCCUCGGACCCAGAGGCCCGUCAGGAACCUCUAUAAAUAGAGGGGUGGGGGCGCCCUAGGGUUUACACCUUUUUGGCGAAACACACCUGCCGUGCCUCCCACGCCCUCGCCUGUUGCAACUCGCGGAUCUAGCAGUCCGGCUUGCGACGCUUCCUCCCUGCACGUGUGGAUACCUUGGAGGUGUUGCGCCUGCAGCACAUCGACGAGCCGCCGACGAGCCACGACGAGCCGACGACGAGCCGCGGCACCGGAGGCGAUCUUGCUGCACGUGGACGAUCUGUUGAGGAGCUGCUGGACGUGAUGUGAUCGACUACGUACGACUACGUUGAUCGACUACGUACGACUACGUGAUCAUCUUCACUGCAUCGACGCAUAUCUACAUCUUCCGCACCAGUAGUGCGUCGAGUGGUAAUCCCGUGAUCCUUAUACGGCAGUUCUUCCUGGUUAUACGCGGUAGAAAUUUUGAUUUGCGCUAGUGUAGCCUACCUCGUAUUCCAACAGUGGUAUCAGAGCCGUAGCUGCUUAGUUUUGGAUUCGGGAUGUGUGCAUAUGGAGAUAUGCGAGUUUUCCGUUUGAUCUAUGUCCUGGUUUCGUGCCCUUGCUGCAAUGGUAGUGUAACGACAUACUCCUACCGGUCGGUUUCCGCCAUCGGAGUUAAGUGAUACACGUAAAUCCAGUUGCAGUGAGCGAAGAUCAAUAUGAUUGGUCGAAUCGAGAUCCAGGGUCAUACGCCAGGCGCAUUAGAUGUGCAAUAGUAGAUGGGAUCUACUGCCGGGGUCGGGAUUUUUGCCGUAUGCGUAUGCUUCGGUAAAUCAGCCGUAACUUUUCGGUACGAUCUCGGAUCGGGGCGAAUUUUAUAUGAAAAUUGAUCUACGGAAAAAGUUACACAUGAAAUUCAACCGCUUUGCCAUUUUCGGCGAAAUUAGAUUUCCCAAAUUUGGCUUGGAAGAUGGAGUUUCGGGCAUCCGAAGUUUGGAUCGUUAGGGCGCCUAACUCUGUUUUGCAGGAUGUAUGUAUGUAUCUUGUGAUCAGUAUGGCCCCCUUGUGUAUGUGAUGCAUGUGUGUAACUCAUUCGUGACCUGCGUGUCGCGCGUACGGCAACACGGCAGGAGCCAUAUGUGUUGUCACCUUAUUGUAUUUAAUGGUCUGCGUACCAAUCUGUGAUGAUCCAAGCAACCAUGUAAUCUUCAUUACUAGAUUCUUUACUAGCUAUUAGACGUAAUAGCAUGUUCUAGUUCUUGGAGGACUCAUCACCAGGAGGAUGGCGCACAUGGAACAUGGAGAUGGAGAUCACCAUGGUGAACAGGUUCUAUGGAGAUGGAGAUCACCAUAUGAAAAUGGGCCAUACUGUGUCACAACUGUGUGAAUGCUAUUCUGUUUAUGUUUUACUUUCUGCAUGCUGUGAUGUUAGAAGUAGAACGAUCCCUCACAAAGUUUAAGUUAGUAUGCCCUCCCAACUAAAACUUGCACCGUCCUAUGUCUUGUACAAUUAGUGGUGGGUCUAUGAAAUUAGAGUACCACUAGUUUUCCUUGACUAGACGGGUUUGUGUCGGACACUUACACGCAUAAGGGUUGGUUUGCUUAACAAGGUCAUCUUAACGGUUAAGGACCUUGGGGCAUAAAGGUUGGGCGCUGAGACAUAGAGAUGUCACCCAACAACAGGAGUCAUACGUGAUAUGAUUAGCAAAAGUUGCUUACCGAUCUACCUUGUUUGCUAGCGGUGAUGCUAAAGCUCACUAGUAGACUUGUUAGUUGUGGAUCCUGAAUCACUAAGUUUCAAUAGAGGGAUAUUGUUUUUAGUGGGAGUAGAUUCUGUUAAAAUAGUUUAAUGUGAUUUGCUCUAUCAUGGAUACGUUUGUCUUAGUGUAUUUUGCAUUACUUUGUUGUAGAUUAAAUGGCACCUAGCAGCACUACACCGUUUGCUUUGCGUUCGGUCCUUGAGAAGGAUAAGUUGAAUGGAACAAAUUACUCGGAUUGGAUCCGUAACCUGAGAAUUGUUCUCAGGGCUGAGAAAAAGGAAGAUGUUCUAGACAACCCACUACUAGAAGAACCUGCUGAUGAUGCACCCGCUGCUGCUAAGAAUGCUUACAAGAAAGCAUGUGAUGCUAACCUCGAAGUAAGCUGCCUUAUGCUUGCUUGCAUGGAACCCGAGCUGCAGAUGCAGUUCGAAACAAACCAUGAGGCGCACGAUAUGAUCGUGGCGCUUAGAGACAUGUUCCAAACACAGGCCAUGACUGAAAGGUUCAAUGUGUCUAAGGCCUUUGUUGAGAGCAAGCUAGCAGAAGGCACAGCAGUAGGACCACACGUAAUCAAGAUGGUUGGUUACACUCAACGGUUGGAGAAGCUAGGCUUCCCACUGGGCCAAGAGUUGGCCACUGAUUUCAUUCUUUCGUCUCUUCCGCCUAGCUAUGGGAACUUCAUCUCGAACUACCAUAUGCAUGAGACGGAGAAGGGUCUGAAUGAGCUGUGUGGCAUGCUUAAAACAGCAGAGGCUGACAUCAAGAAAAGCGCUAGUACCAGCCAUGUGAUGGCUAUACAGAACAAGCCCAGCUUUAAGAAAAAAGGCAAUUCUUGGAAGAAGAAGGGCAAGGCUGGAACGUCCAAGCCAAACCCAGCGCCCAAGGUUAAAGCUGGACCUGGACCUGCUCCAGACAAAGAGUGCUUUUACUGUCAUGAACUUGGUCACUGGAAGAGAAACUGCAAGCAGUACCUAGCUUCCUUGAAGAAUGGCGGAAGUAAGAGUACUUCUACCUCAGGUACGCUUGUUGUUAAUGUUAUAGACAACAUAUUUCUCGCUGAUACAAUUAUUAAUUCUUGGGUAUUUGAUACCGGAUCGGUUGCUCAUAUUUGCAAUUCGAUGCAGGGAAUGAUAAGAAGUAGAAGUGUGGAAAGAGGAGAAGUUGAUUUCCGCGUGGGCAAUAAUGCAAGUGUUGCUGCGUUGACCGUCGGGACGAUGCAACUCCACCUUCCGUCAGGAUUUAUUAUGGAGUUGAAUAAUUGUUAUUUCGUUCCUAGUUUAAGUCGAAACAUUUUGUCUCCUUCAUGCUUGAUGAAGGAUGGUUAUUCAUUUGCGAGUGAAAACAAUGGUUGUGUGAUCUCUAAGAAUAAUAUGUUUAUGGCUUUUGCACCCAUUGUGAAUGGAUUAUUUGUUUUAAAUCUUGAUGGUUCACCUGUCUGUAAUGUAAGUGCUAAAAGGCCUCGGCCUAAUGAUUUGAGUCCUACCUACUUGUGGCAUUGUCGUUUGGGUCAUAUAAGUGAAAAGCGCAUGAAGAAGCUCCAUUCUGAUGGACUUCUAACUUCGUUUGAUUUUGAAUCAUACGAGACAUGUGAGGCUUGCUUGCUAGGCAAGAUGACCAAGACGCCUUUCACAGGAUUUCCUGAGAGAGCAGUAGACUUGUUGGAACUCGUACAUAGUGAUGUAUGCGGACCAAUGAGCACGACGGCUAGAGGAGGAUUCCAAUACUUCAUAACUUUCACUGAUGAUUUUAGUAGAUAUGGCUAUGUCUACUUGAUGAGGCACAAGUCUGAAACCUUUGAAAAGUUCAAGGAAUUUCAGAAUGAAGUUGAAAAUCAGCGUGGCAAGAAAAUUAAGGCCUUACGAUCUGAUCGUGGAGGCGAGUAUUUGAGCCACGAGUUUAGCAAUCAUCUUAAGAGUUGCGGAAUUGUUCCACAACUUACGGCGCCUGGAACACCUCAGAGAAACGGUGUAUCCGAGCGACGUAAUCGAACUUUGUUAGACAUGGUUCGAUCAAUGAUGAGCCAGUCGGACCUACCGUUGUCAUUUUGGGGAUACGCUCUAGAAAUAGCAGCUUUCACACUUAAUAGGGUACCAUCUAAAUCCGUAGUUAAGACACCAUAUGAGAUAUGGACUGGAAAGGUUCCUAGUUUGUCUUUUCUAAAGAUUUGGGGAUGUGAAGUCUUCGUCAAGCGACUUCAGUCGGACAAGAUCACACCCAAGUCGGAUAAGUGCAUUUUCGUGGGAUAUCCAAAGGAAACUUUGGGAUAUUAUUUCUACAACCGAUCAGAAGGCAAAGUGUUUGUCGCUCGGAACGGGGUUUUCCUAGAGAAAGAAUUUCUCAAAGGAGAAAAGAGUGGAAAAACAGUGCAUCUUGAAGAAGUUCAAGAUGAGCCGAUCGGGCAAGAACCAAUGAGUGAUGCUAAUGUAGCAGAACAAGUUGAGAUACCCAUGGCAAGAGAAGCACCGCCACAACCACGAAGGUCAGCAAGGCUCCGCGAAAUGCGGGAAAUAUUAUUGUUGGACAAUGAUGAGCCUGCGACAUAUGCAGAAGCAAUGAUGGACCCAGACUCCGACAAAUGGCAGAGUGCCAUGCAAUCCGAAAUAGAGUCCGUGGGAGACAAUCAAGUUUGGAACUUGGUUGACCCGCCUGAUGGUGUUAAAGCCAUAGAGUGCAAGUGGAUCUAUAAGAAGAAAAAGGACAUGGAUGGAAAUGUUCACAUCUAUAAAGCACGACUUGUCGCAAAAGGUUUUCGACAAGUUCAAGGAGUUGACUACGACGAGACCUUCUCGCCUAUAGUGAUGCUUAAGUCCAUUCGGAUUAUUCUAGCUAUAGCUGCAUAUUUCAAUUAUGAGAUAUGGCAGAUGGAUGUCAAGACAGCUUUCCUGAAUGGAAACCUAGCUGAGGACGUGUAUAUGAUACAGCCCGAGGGUUUUGUCGAUCCGAAAAAUGCUGGAAAGGUAUGCAAGCUUCAGAGAUCCAUUUAUGGAUUGAAGCAAGCAUCUAGGAGUUGGAACAUUCGUUUUGAUGAAGUGGUCAAAGGGUUUGACUUCACCAAGAACGAAGAAGAGUCUUGUGUUUACAAGAAGGUUAGUAGGAGCUCUGUAGUAUUUCUAAUCUUAUAUGUGGAUGACAUAUUACUGAUUGGAAAUAACAUUCCUAUGCUUGAGUCCGUAAAGACUUCACUAAAAAAUAGUUUUUCGAUGAAGGACUUAGGGGAAGCGGCAUAUAUUCUGGGCAUUAAGAUCUAUAGAGAUAGAUCGAGAAGGCUUAUAGGUUUAAGCCAAGAUACUUACAUUGACAAAGUGUUGAAGCGGUUCAGCAUGGAAGAGGCAAAGAAAGGGUUCUUGCCUAUGUCACAUGGCAUACAUCUCAGCAAGACUCAGUGUCAUUCGACUGCUGAUGAGCGGGAUCGCAUGAGUAGAGUGCCAUAUGCCUCGGCUAUUGGAUCUAUCAUGUAUGCAAUGAUAAGUACUCGCCCAGAUGUUUCAUAUGCGCUAAGUAUGACAAGCAGACACCAAUCUGAUCCAGGUGAGAGUCACUGGACAGCGGUAAAAAACAUUCUUAAGUACUUGAGAAGGACUAAAGAUAUGUUCCUCGUCUAUGGAGGUGAGGAGGAGCUCGUUGUAACAGGUUACACCCAUGCUAGUUUCCAAACCGACAGAGAUGAUUCAGAGUCACAAUCAGGAUUUGUGUUCACACUGAAUGGUGGUGCUGUUAGUUGGAAGAGUUCCAAGCAGGAGACGGUGGCCGAUUCUACGACAGAAGCCGAGUACAUCGCAGCUUCGGAAGCCGCGAAGGAAGGUGUUUGGAUAAGGAAUUUCCUCAUUGAGCUUGGUGUGUUCCCGAAUGCGUCCAGCCCAUUGAAUCUCUACUGUGAUAAUAAUGGGGCAAUUGCGCAAGCAAAGGAGCCAAGGAACCACCAGAAGAACAAACACGUAAUGUGGCGAUUUCAUCUCAUUCGAGACUUCGUUAACUGGGGUGAGAUCAAGAUAUGCAAAAUACACACGGAUCUGAACAUUUCUGAUCCGUUGACAAAACCACUCCCGCAGGCUAAGCAUGAUGUGCAUGUAAGAGCUAUGGGUAUUAGGUACCUUCUAGAUUGACUCUAGUGCAAGUGGGAGACUGUUGGAGGUAUGCCCUAGAGGCAAUCAUAGAGAUGAUGAUAUUCCAUUUGUAUCCAUGAUUUGUAUAUUGUGUUCAUUGAAUAUCCAUUAAAGGCUACUUGAAUUGAUUUGCAAUUAUGUGAAUUGUAUGUGAAACUCUUUACUUGUAUGGUUAUUCUAAAGUUGUCCCUAGUCGGAGUUCAUGUGAGGACACACAUGAAUAUUAGACUAGCACAUGUAUUAGUUGAUGACUAUGUUUCACAAGUCAUGGACAUGGAGAUGUUGAACUAAUAAUGUGGACACAUGUGGAGACAUGUGCUAGGACUGACCCAACACGAGAAGUAGUUCUCUCUUUAAACAACAUAUACGCUUUGUCCUUAGACCUGAGAUUGUCGCAUGUAUUCUAGAUGUGGAUCGACCUACUUAGGGGCUAUCAAACGCUACGCCGUAACAGGGUAGUUAUAAAGGUAGCUUUCGGGUUUGUCAAGAAGCGUGCUAUGAGACAUGGUCAAUCAAGAUGGGAUUUGCCCCUCUCUGAUUGAGAGUGAUAUCUCUGGGCCCCUCGAGUGAUCGGAUCCGAAAAUGCAUGGCCAUGCUACAUACGGUUAAGAGUUAACCUACAAAGGGAUUCCGAAUCACAGGAUCGAGAAAGAGCGGUCGGCUUGAAGCUAGACCAAAUAUCGUGAGGCAAAGGGAAUAGCAUAUAUAUUAUUGUGUGAUGGUUCGUCUGAUAUGAUCUUCGUGUACGUAUAGGAGUUGGCACGUCUUGCUAGAGGCCGCUACCGACUAUUGGGUCGAGUAGGAGUACUCGGGCCAUGUCUAUACGUAUCUGAACCCAUAGGGUCACACACUUAAGGGGCUGGAAGCCCAAUUCGGAUCUGAUCCGAGUUGGAUUAGGUUUAGAAGUACUAAUGGGCCUCGGACCCAGAGGCCCGUCAGGAACCUCUAUAAAUAGAGGGGUGGGGGCGCCCUAGGGUUUACACCUUUUUGGCGAAACACACCUGCCGUGCCUCCCACGCCCUCGCCUGUUGCAACUCGCGGAUCUAGCAGUCCGGCUUGCGACGCUUCCUCCCUGCACGUGUGGAUACCUUGGAGGUGUUGCGCCUGCAGCACAUCGACGAGCCGCCGACGAGCCACGACGAGCCGACGACGAGCCGCGGCACCGGAGGCGAUCUUGCUGCACGUGGACGAUCUGUUGAGGAGCUGCUGGACGUGAUGUGAUCGACUACGUACGACUACGUUGAUCGACUACGUACGACUACGUGAUCAUCUUCACUGCAUCGACGCAUAUCUACAUCUUCCGCACCAGUAGUGCGUCGAGUGGUAAUCCCGUGAUCCUUAUACGGCAGUUCUUCCUGGUUAUACGCGGUAGAAAUUUUGAUUUGCGCUAGUGUAGCCUACCUCGUAUUCCAACCCUCCACACUUCAUGGGCUGAUUUCCACCUUAUCCUUCUAUUUCUCUCCAAGCCCAUACAGGCCCAACUAGCCCAUCCUCCUAAUCGGCCGAUUCCUUAUCGGCAAAAGAUUACCGAUUGGGACUCUGGUAUAUUCGACUCAUAGCGAGACAGAGGUCAGCGGCCGAUCUCACACUGUAGCACCAUUUGACCGAUUCCCAACUGUGCUUCUCCGAUUCCUUCUCUUCUUGGCGCCGAUUCUACUAGUGACGAAAUCUGGCGUCAACACAUGCCCCCCAGUUUCGGAGUAAAACAUAUUCUUUUACUUCGAAUUUCCUUAUAACCUCCCCCCCGAAACGGUUGCAGUGAAAAUAUCCUUCCGUUUCGCGGUCUUCCAGCUGAUCAUUGCAAUUUUUCGAAACGGGCGCCCACGACAACCACUACCCCCGAAAAACUUGAAGCGCCGGCGCGGUAAAAAUUCCAUUUUUACCCCCCUUCAGGCAUCCUUUAAAUAGCGCCUCACCCGCAACUCAUCUUCAAGCUCACGUCUCUUUUCCCAGCGCGCGCGCAUUCUUCCUCUUUCAGCACCUUUCCCUUGCCGCCGAAGCUUUCUAGCUCCACCUCCUGUUACUUCUUCCCUCUUCUCUUCCAAUGGCGGCUCCUUCCGGCAGCUCUCCCGCACGCGGCGCCCCAGAGGUAGCACCUCCGGUGGUGGUGGCGACAACCAUCACUCCUCCCACAGAUGAAGGAGCUUCAUCGGAGAUCCCAAUGGCAAUCCCCAUCGCGACCCCGUCGUCCGCAUCCGCAUCGGCGACCACGCCGAUCACUCAGAACUUCAUCCCAUAGGUAAAUACCGAAUCCUACCUCUAUCGGCAAUGUAUUUACCUUAGAUCUGUUUCUUACUUUUCCACACUCCCUUUCUUUUUAGGCAGUUAGGCAUAGAAUUACCAUUCACCUUACGGGAAGUCUCGGCCUUAUUUGUCUCGGUCCCAUGGGAAACCCAGAUCCAAUAGAUCUCAUAAAUUUGGAAACCGACCGGAUACCCUUCAAACGGUCUGAUAUGAACUUAGAUCACUGGGUGGGUACUUUUAGAUCCUGGCCGAAUGAAACCCCAGGUUGGAGGGAGUGGUACCAACGGAUGGCCGCAUCAAAGAGCGUCUCAUGGGAAGAGCUCAAAAUCGGCCAGUGCAUCAACCUUUCCUUAUCUCAAAUGGAGAAAAAUGAGCCGUUAGUGAUAGCGGCUUCUUAUUUUUGGUCUGAUGCACUUAAUGCAUUCUUAUUUGGGCACGGUCCUAUGACCCCCACACUGGCCGAUGUAGUCAUGUUGACCGGCCUUGACAUAUCCUCCCCGGACACACCCUUCCGCCUUUUAACCACAACAUCACAUCGGCUGGACACAAGGGGAAUCGGCGGAUGGAAGGGUUUCAUCAGAAGUAAUAAGAAAACCGGGACCGUUGAGAACAGGGAGCAUACGGCUUUCCUAAUGAUGUGGCUAGAAAAACACUUCUUCUGUGGAAGAGCCGCCGGCCCAACAACCAACACCCAAGCCUUGGCUGAAGCACUGUCCAGGGGAGACCAUAUCCCCCUCGGUAAACAUCUACUAGGGGCCGUGUACCACAUGCUUCAUCAAAUCGGCACAAGACUAUCCAAGGGAGAGCCGAUCGGCAAUCAGGGCGGGCCUUGGUGGUUCGUCAAUUUGUGGUUGAAUCUUUACAUGAGCAGAAUUACCCAGCAGCCAAUGGACCACAUGACGUUCCCCAAUAUCGAAUCGGCAGAGGACCCCACCGAACGUCGCCGAUGCAUGUCCUUUGGCGAAGCGGCGUCAGCUUUUCCAGGUUGCGCGUAUUCUGCUACAAAGGUAGCCGAGUACUUUCGAUGUUUCUACAAUGGAUUUAACGAAGACGCAACCAUUUGGUUUCCGAAUCAGCGAGACAACCCGAUCUUUGAGCUCCCCACUUGCUUCGAUUCGGCUUCCGGCCGAUUUGAUGAAAAUCUCUAUGAAGGGUUGAUCAAGCCAGGACUCCUACCGGCCAACUUCUUCUCAGGGAAGGAUGCCCCUACAUACGAAUUCUACAACCCCUCCGCUGCAGCACGACAAUUCGGCAUGGGUCAGCUGCCGAUUCAAGUGUACUUUGCUGGCCGAAUCAAGUUUAGAGAUGAGCUCAAAUCUGGCCUGGAUUACGGUCGGUUGCGAGACCGAAUUCCUGACUCCAGUACAAUUAACUUGAACGACUGGCUAGUAGCUCCAUUUGUUGUCCAGCCGUUCAAACUCUGGUGGGCCGAUUGGAAGCAAUUUCUCUUCUGCAACUCAGCAUCGGCAUACUGCAAUCUUCUGGACCCGGCCAACAUUGACCCAAACGCUGAGGUACUUCACAUAGCCGAUUUUUAUUCCUUCUUAUUCCUCCUAACAUGAUUGAGUACUAAUGAUUUUAUUAUUUCUUUAGGCCGAGAAUCGGACCCCUCCAACACACAGCCGCAGCGGUCGGCUAAUAGAGAGUCAUCCAUAUACCACUUAUCCUCUUAUCGGCUAUGACGCUCCGUCUGUUGAUGUGAUUGCCGGUCGAUCAAAGCAAGUUCAUAAGAGGACCACUAAAAAGACCAGUCGCCGAGUCCGGGCUCGCACGGAAUCGGCGGAUCCUCCUGUGCUCGUAUCGGCAGGAACUUCGGCCGCACCACCUUCUCAAGGCAUUCAAGAUGCUGAUACUCAAGCCAUCACGCAAGCCGGGGUGGCUACCGCAUCAUUAUUGUUGGAAGCUAUACAGGUAAGCCUGAGUUUUACUAUCUCCGAUUGUCAUUCUGAUAUUAAUCCUUCUCAACUUUGUACUCCACAGAGCACCCCUAUGGAAAUACAACAAUCGGCGACAACUCAACCGGACACCGACGCGCCCCCGCCCCCAUCUAUUGAGGUAUAGUAUUUAUCUUACGGAUUUCCUUCGGGUAUUUGCGUAAUGUACUUAAUCAACCCUCUGACACAGGCCAUCGGCACCCCGAGCGCUCCUCGACCACCGAUCUCUUCUCAGGGAGCUGGUCUAAGCACCGCGCCGAUUAUCGUGGAAUCUUCCUCAUCCGAUGAACCCAUGGCGCAGGCUCCUGAGCAAGGCACGACGGCUUUACAAGUGCAGCAUGAGGAAAUUCGCUUCAAAAUGGUAAGUUCCUAACUCGGCUUUCACCCAGCCGAUUUGUUCUCAUUCCCCGCCGGCUCAUCCUUCUUCUUUAUUCUCUUCAGGAACAAGACUCCCUCGAUAAUAGCCUCUUUUCCUUUGCGGUUGCACUUUCUGAUGACGAAGAAGUCGCUUCCCGCCAAGUCGCCCUGAGCUCCGUUCCUGAUGACGUCCGAGCUAAACUUUCCACCAUCCUACCCUCCUCCAGGGGGACAUCGGCCGACUAGUAGAAGAUGCUUCGCCGAUUCGGCAACUCUUCAGUGACGUCAGCGGACGAGUACCGGAGGAGGCGGAGGAGGCCCUGGCGCCGGCGGCCUUCAUCGAGUCCAUGAGGAUCCCAGUCUUCAGGGCCCUUCGUCAUAUGGCCGAUCGCGCAAAACUGGCCAAAACUCGUGAAGAUGAAGACACUUUUAAGCGUCAGGCUCAAGAGGCACAUCGGCGUAUCCAUGUUCUAGAGGACUCCCGCCCGGCGAUCAUCAGUGAGAUAGACCACCUCAAACGUCGAAGGGCGGAGCUUGCCAAGGAGAUGGAGCAAGUGACUAAAGCAAUCAGUGCCGAAGAGAGUAAACUCCAAGAGCUGCCCUCUGUUAUUGCCGAUUUGACACGGGAGAGACAGCGCCUUGCUCAUGAGGCCCUGAGACUUCAUCGCAGUGCAUCGGAGGUCCCUGGAUCGACGGAAGAAGACCAACGGGUUCUUGACUCUGCCGAUCAGAUCCGGCGUCGGGCCAUCACGGCUAUCGAUACCCUUCUGGGUAAUCUGUAACACACUGACCGUUUUGUACGAACAUUUACUAUCUUCUUUGACCGUCCCUCGCGACGCCCUUUCUGUUUACUGCUUUCUUGUUACCGAUGGGACGUGGCCUUACCAGAUUUCCACGCAUUUUUUCCAUAAAUACCGACCUCGGCGUCUACUCCCGAUAGCAUUAACUUGGCUCUCAUUUUACUUCUCUUCUUCUUCUCAUCGGCGCGACUGCUCUGUCAUGGCUUCGUCGUCCUCUUCUUCUGUAAACCAGGUGAAGUCUUUUACCUUCCCUUAGAUCUUAGGAAAAGAAUGUUCUUUCUUAUCCCUUCUUUGUUUCAGCCUCAACGUCUUAGCCCUGAGCUCGUGCGCGCCAUCGAGUGUAUCCACUCCGAAGACCCAUUAUCAUUGGAGGACAAGGCGCUGAUCCUGGCUCACCGAGAGGAACUCCGAGACCACAUAACUGCGGAAGCUCGUGUGGUCUUGGAUUCCGUGGUGAGUGAAAGUAAUCGCCGAUCUCCAACCGUCAGGGGCCCUUGCCGUGGCGAACCUGAAGAUGACGUCACCUCGGCAGCCCGCACGAUUUUGGACUUCAUGGAGAGGAACGGCGGCCAGCGACCUCCCACCGACAGGAACCGUCUACUUCCUCGGCCAGUCGUCCUCGCGGCGGCAGAGACCUCGCGCCUUCGUGUCGUGAACAAGUUGGAGCAGAAAGGGAAGGCGUCCAAGAAGAAGAACAACUAGUUUGUUUUUGUAUUUUUUGUUCUAAGGGCGACUAAAUGUUUUGUCGGCCAUGUAACCUGUCGUCCGUACCGAAUGAAUGUAAUCGGCCGAUCCGGUCGACUAUGUGUUUGAACCGAUUUGUAUCGGUUAUGUGCUUGAACCGAUUUGUUUCGGCUAUGUGUGAUUGUGUCAUGGUCAAUUUCUCACGCUCCGACCCAUAUACUAGGGUAGUAUCUUUUUAAGUACCUUCCAUUUAGAGCUCUAGUAAAUUCUUCUCCUUCUAUGGUUUCCAAAAUAUAAGCAUUUCCUGGAGCGCAUCUGCCGAUUUUAUACGGCCCUUCCCAGGUAGGGGACCAUUUUCCGAAUUUAGGAUCUUUCGACCCGAUCGGCAACACUAACUUCCAUACCAAGUCUCCGGGGGAGAACUGUUUGACUUUGACCUUCUUAUCGUACCACCUGGCUACUCUCUUCUUAUUCUCUUCAAUGCUUAUCAAGGCCCUCAAUCGUUGGCUAGCCAAAUCGUCAAGUUCCCUUUUCAUAAGUGAUGAGUAAUCAUCGGCCGAUAACUGGUCCUGGAGCGAAAUACGCCUCGAUCCUGCCCUCGACCCCUAUGGUAGUACUGCAUCGUGACCGUACACCAACUGAUAGGGAGACAACUUGGUAGCCCCAUGACAAGCCAUCCUGUACGCCCACAGGGCCUCAGUCAAACAUAGGUGCCACUUUUUCGGAUGUUCUUCAAUCUUCCUUUUGAUCAAUUUGAUUAUUCCUUUGUUGGAGGACUCUUCUUGACCAUUGGCUUGGGCGUAAUACGGAGAAGAAUUUAACAAUUUGAUACCCAUAUCGGUCGUAAAUUCCUCAAAUUCCCCCGAUGUGAACAUUGUUCCUCGAUCGGUUGUUAUAGUCUGAGGGAUGCCGAAUCGGUAGACGAUGUGAUCCCUUACGAAGUCGGCCAUGAUAGCCGAUGUCACGGCUCUCAACGGGAUUGCCUCCACCCAUUUGGUGAAGUAAUCAGUAGCCACCAGAAUAAAUUUGUGCCCCUUGCUUGACGGUGGGUAAAUUUGGCCGAUAAGGUCUAUUCCCCACCCCCUGAACGGCCAUGGCUUGAUGAUGGGAUUCAUGGCCGACGCGGGUGCACGUUGGACAUUUCCAAACUUUUGACACUCCUGACAACCUUUAUAAUAUUUGAAACAAUCUUCAAGGAUUGUAGGCCAAUAGUACCCGUUGUUCCUGAUCAUCCACUUCAUUUUAUGUGCCGAUUGGUGUGCUCCUGUUGGCGCUAGAAAUCGGUCAACCGGAUCCCAGCGGCCGACACACGACCCGGGAGAAUCUGCUUAGCUCCUGUUCGGGUGAAUGCCCUGGUGCGGUUCGCGCGGCGUGCCAGCCAAUCUGACCUGUUGAUUGGCAAGGAAGAACACGUGUCAAAUUCAGUGACUACGAUCGGCUAAGUUUCCGAUCGAGAGAGCUUAUCGGCAGAUCGGCCGAUUCACUGUGGUAAAGAAAUCGGCUACAAGACAGCACGACCCUUGUGGCCUUGUAGAUAGAAAAAUAUUAAAGUAAUCGGUACAAGGUACGUAGUAACAGCACUAGGAAAAGAUCUAAUCGGCAACAGAUGAAUCUGGCAACAGAAAGUAAUAACAGCCGAUACUACCGAUUCCUGGCGGGAUAACAGGUGAUAAAAACUAGGAAAGCAGGUAAAAACCUAUGAAUCUAGUCGAUAUCGAUAACUGAUGAAUAAACCUAAACGAAACAACAGCGAUGCGCCGGAAGUCAAAGCUUAGAUAUUACUCGAUAAACGGAACUUACAGAAUCGGCCGGAGAUCAAGAUGAUGCAGCCCUGCCAACCCGCACGAACUCGUGAGAAGGAAAAGUGAUGGCGAAGUCGCCUGCUCGAAAGUAAGUAUGAAGAAUAAAGUAACUUGUUGUAUUGAUUGAUUGUUGUCCUUACAGAUUUACAAAGGUAGCUAUUUAUAGCCCCGUACAAAUAAUCUUCUUAACCGACUAGAACUCUAUCUCUAAUUCAAACAGAAAACAAAUAUCUACAAGCACAAUCCGUGCUAAACUAAUUACCCCACGCUUCGUGGGCUGAAUCUCCACCCUAUCUCUCCAUCUUUCCAAGCCCAUACAGGCCCACCUUAGUCCACCUUCCUGAUCGGCCGAUUUCUAAUCGGCAAAGGAUUGCCGAUUGGGAAUCUGGUGCAUUUACCCUGAAGCGAAGUAAGAGCUACUGACCGAUUCUGCUUUAUAGCAUCUUUUGACCGAUUUCAUCCGUACUUCUUCGACUUCUUUCCUCCUUGGCGCCGAUUCUACUGAUGACGAAAUCCGGCGUCAACACAUGCCCCCCAGUUUCGGAGUAAAACAUAAUCUUUUACUUCGAAAUUCUUUAUAACCUCUCCUCCGAAACGGCCGCAGUGAAAAUAUCCUUCCGUUUCGCGGUCUCCCGGCUGAUCAUUGCAAUUUUUUGAAACGGGCGCCCACGACAGCCACUACCCCGAAAAACUCGAUGCGCCGGCGCGGUGAAAAUUCCAUCUUUACCCUUUCUUCAGGCACCCUAUAAAUAUCAUUUCACCGCAACUCAUCUUCAAGCUCGCAUCUCCUUUUCCAGCGCGCGCACCUCCUUCUUUCUUCAAUCUUGCCAUCGAAGUCUUCCAGUUUCAGCUCCAAUCACUCCUUCAUGGGGACAUCGGCCGAUUAGUAGAAGACGCUUCGCCGAUUCGGCAGCUCUUCAAUGACGUCAGCGGACGAGUACCAGAAGAGGCGGAGGAGGCCCUGGCGCCGGCGGCCUUUAUUGAGUCUAUGAGGAUCCCGGUCUUCAGAGCCCUUCGUCACAUGGCUGAUCGCGCCAAGCUGACCAAGGCUCGCGAGGAGGAAGACGCUUUCAAGCGUCAGGCUCAAGAGGCGAAUCGGCGUAUCCAUGUCCUAGAAGAUUCCCGCCCGGCGAUCAUAGGUGAGAUAGACCGUCUCAAGCGCCGGAGGGCGGAGCUUGCCAAGGAAAUGGAGCAGGUGACCAAGGCAAUCAGUGCUGAAGAGAACAAACUCCAAGAGCUACCCUCUGUUAUUGCCGACUUGACACGGGAGAGGCAACGCUUUGCUCACGAGGCAUUGAGACUCCAUCGCAGCGCAUCGGAGGUUCCUGGAUCGGCGGAAGAAGACCAACGGGUACUUGACUCUGCCGAUCAGAUCCGGUGUCGGGCCAUCACGGCUAUCGAUACCCUUCUGGGUAAUCUGUAAAACACUGACCGUUUUGUACGAAUCAUUUACUAUCUUCUUUGACCGCCCCUCGCGACGCCCUUUCUAUUUAUUGCCUUCUUAUUACCGAUGGGACGUAGCUUUACCAGAUUUCCACGCAUUCUUUUAUAAAUACCAACCUCGGCGCUUGCUCCUGGUAGCAUCAAUCUUGGCUCUCGGUUUUAACUUUUCUGCCCCUUCUCAUCGGUGCUAUUUCUUCGCCAUGGCCUCGUCGUCUUCUUCUUCCUCUGUUAACCAGGUGAAGUCCUUGGCCUCUACCUUCCUCUCUUUUUUUAGACCCUAAGGAAGAGAAUAUCCCCCCUCAUUCCUUCUUUGUUUCAGCCUCAACGUCUUAGCCCUGAGCUCGUGCGUGCCAUUGAGCGCAUUCAUUCCGAAGAUCCAUUAACGUCGGAGAACAAGAUGCUGAUCGUGACUCACCGAGAGGAGCUCCAGGAUCACAUUACCACGGAGGCUCGCGUAGUCUUGGAUUCCGUGGUGAGUGAAAGUAACCAUCAAUCUUCACCUGUCAGGAGCGAUCUUUGUGGCGAUCUUGAAGACAAUAUUGCCACGGAGGCCCGAACGAUCCUGGACUUCAUGGAGAGGAACGGUAGCCGGCGACCUCCCAUUGACAGGAGUCAUCUACUCCCUCGGCAAGUCGUUCUUGAAGAUGCGGGAGCGGGGACUUCGCGCCCUCCCGUAGAUCUCCCCCGUCAAGUCGAAACGGAGAUUUCAAUGAAGGCCAUAGAGGAAGAAUACAUCCGACUCAUGAUAGAGUUAGGUCGGGCUGAGAGGGAGCGUAAGAAAAAGAAUAAUUAGUUGCUGUAUUUUUUGUUCUAAGGGCGACUAAACAUUUUGUCGGCCAUGUGACCCGUCGCCCGUUCCGAAUGAAUGUAAUCGGCCGUUCCGGUCGACUUUAUGUGUGUCUUAAGACCGAAUCGUAUCAGUCAUGUAUGAUCAUGUUGAUUCUUUAGGCACCGACCCAUAUACUUGGGUAAUAUCUUUUUAAGUACCUCCCAUUCAGAGCUCUAGUGAACUCUUCUCCUUCUAUUGUUUCCAAGAUGUAGGCAUUCCCUGGAGCGCAUUUGCCGAUUUUAUACGGCCCUUCCCAGGUAGGAGACCACUUGCCGAAUUUAGGAUCUUUCGACCCGAUCGGUAGUACUAACUUCCAUACCAAAUCUCCGGGGGAGAACUGCUUGACUUUGACCUUUUUAUCGUACCACCUGGCCACUCUCUUUUUAUUCUCUUCGAUACUUAUCAGAGCCCUUAGUCGCUGGCUGGCCAAAUCAUCGAGUUCUUCCUUCAUCAGAACCGAGUAGUCAUUGGCCGAUAACUGAUCCUGAAGUGAAAUGCGCCUUGAUCCUGCCCUCGACUCCCAUGGAAGUACUGCAUCGUGACCGUAUACUAACUGAUAGGGAGAUAACUUGGUAGCCCCAUGACAAGCCAUUCUGUACGCCCACAGGGCUUCGGUCAAGCAUAGGUGCCACUUCUUUGGGUAUUCUUCAACCUUCCUUUUGAUCAACUUGAUUAUUCCUUUGUUGGAAGAUUCUGCUUGACCGUUGGCCUGAGCGUAAUACGGAGAACAAUUUAGCAAUUUGAUGCCCAUAUCAGUCGUAAAUUCCUCAAAUUCUCCCGAUGUGAACAUUGUUCCUUGAUCGGUUGUUAUAGUUUGAGGGAUACCGAAUCGAUAGACGAUAUGAUCCCUUACGAAAUCGGCCAUGAUAGCCGACGUCACGGUCCUUAGUGGGAUUGCCUCCACCCAUUUGGUGAAAUAAUCGGUAGCAACCAGAAUGAACUUGUGCCCCUUGCUUGAUGGUGGAUAAAUUUGGCCGAUGAGGUCUAUUCCCCAUCCUCUGAACGGCCAUGGUUUGAUGAUGGGAUUCAUGGCCGAUGCGGGUGCACGCUGGACAUUUCCAAACUUUUGACAUUCCUGACAACCCUUAUAAUAUUUGAAACAAUCUUCGAGGAUCGUAGGCCAAUAGUACCCGUUGUUUCUGAUCAUCCAUUUCAUCUUAUGUGCUGAUUGGUGAGCUCCGCACACCCCUUCAUGGAUUUCUCCCAUUAGAGUCUUGGCUUCUUCUGUCCCAAGGCAUUUAAGAAGAACACCAUCGAUCGUUCGGUAGAACAGAUCAUCUUCGAGCAACACGUACUUGGUAGCAUGAAAACGCACUCGUCGCUCAACCUUUUUGGACGGAUCUUUUAGGUAAUCGGCAAUUUCCUUACGCCAAUCAUCAGCUGCAAGCUCUAAGGCCAUGGCGCCCGGAAUCGGCCGAUACCCAGAUGCGUGUUGAGCGAGUUUGUUUGCUUCCUCGUUGUGGUCUCUUGGGACGUGCUCGAUUACUGCCGAUCUGAAUUCUUUCAAAAGCUGUAAGCAAUCUUCGUGAUGGAUUCGCAAUAUGUCAUCUUUGCACUCAGCUCUUCCGGUUAGUUGAUCCACAAUUAGCAUCGAAUCUCCGAAGACCUCAACAGAAUCGGCCUUGACUUCCCUCAAUAAUUGUAAGCCUUUUAAUACAGCUCUGUACUCCGCUUGAUUGUUUGUGGCGGCGUUUUCUAUCGGCAGAGAAAAAUCAUAUCUUGCCCCCCGAGGCGAUAUGAGAACGAUGCCGAUUCCCGAUCCGACUCCGCAUGAUGACCCAUCAAAAAAUAGUUGCCAAGGAGCUAGUUCCACGAAGGCAAUCUCUGGCCCACAAUGCUGGGCAACGAAAUCGGCCAUGACUUGACCUUUGACGGCUUUUGCCGAUUCGUACCGUAGGUCAAAUUCUGAUAAAGCUAAAAUCCAUUUUCCGAUUCGCCCUUUCAAUAUCGGCAGUGACAGCAUGUAUUUCACUACAUCAUCUUUGCAUACGACUAUACACUCUGCCGACAGUAGAUAGUGUCUGAGUUUGGUGCACGAGAAGUAGAGACACAAACACAAACGCUCUACUGGAGGAUAUCUUGUUUCGGCAUCCAGGAGUCUUCUACUAACGUAAUAAAUCACCCGUUCUUUGCCUUCAAACUCUUGGACUAGAGCCGACCCAAUAGCUUUUUCAUCGGCUGAUAAAUAUAGUUUGAAUGGCUUACCCGUUUGAGGGGGAACCAGGACUGGGGGCGAGACCAAGUAUCGCUUGAUGUCUUCUAACGCCUUGCGCUGUUCUUCUCCCCAAAUAAAUUCUUGGUCUGACUUCAACUUCAGAAGUGGUGUGAACGCCUGGAUUCGUCCAGAUAGAUUAGAUAUAAAUCUUCUGAUGAAGUUUACCUUGCCGAUUAGAGACUGUAGCUCAGUUUUGUUCUGUGGGGCGACGACUUUGUUGAUAGCCGCUAUGGUCUUCUGAUUGACUUCAAUGCCUCGUUCGUGCACCAUGAAUCCUAAGAACUGUCCGGCGGAGACGCCGAAAGCGCAUUUAUUGGGAUUCAUCUUGAGACCAUGUUUUUUGGUACACUCUAGGACCCUUCGCAAAUCGGCUAAGUGUUCUUCGUGGCUUUUGGACUUAACCACAACGUCGUCGAUGUAGAUUUCCACCAGGAGGCCGAUGAGUUUGUGGAAAAUAUAGUUCAUGGCCCUCUGAUACGUAGCACCCGCAUUCUUCAAACCGAAAGUCAUCACCACCCACUCGAAUAGACCAAGAUGGCCUGGACAUCUGAAAGCCGUUUUGGGUAUAUCCUCUUCGGCCAUAAGUAUUUGGUUGUAUCCGGCGUUCCCAUCCAUGAAGCUAAUAAUUUUGUGCCCCGCGGCAGCGUCGAUCAGUACAUCGGCCGUAGGCAUGGGGUAGCCAUCCAUCGGUGUGGCCUGAUUAAGAUUUCUGAAAUCGACACAAACGCGUAGCUUCCCGUUUUUCUUAUACACCGGUACGAUAUUAGAAAUCCACUCGGCGUAACGACAUUGCCGAAUAAAUUUUGCUUCAAUUAGCCGAGUUAUUUCGGCUUUUAUGUCAGGUAGAAUUUUAGGAUUGCAUCGCCGUGCGGGUUGUUGGUACGGCCGAUACCCUGGUUUUAUGGGUAGCCGAUGUUCAACAAUAGAUCGAUCUAAUCCGGGCAUCUCGUGAUACUCCCACGCAAAACAAUCCUUGAAUUCUCUUAAUAAAUUUGUCAGUUUACACUUGUACUCUGGAUCUAAAUUUGCACUAAUAAAAGUCGGCCUUGGUUUGGUUCCGUCACCUAAAUCUACCAUCUCUAAUGAAUCGACCGAUGUGAAUCCGUGUCCCAGCUUCCCGUCUUCUCGGGCGAACUGAUCCAUUUAUUGCGAUUCUUCGGAGCCGACUGCUCGGAUCGGCUGUAGGCCAAAAUCGGUGACCUUCAGGAAAUCAGUUUCCCACACCCUACCUGAUAUGCACCUGAUGGUUUCGCAGCUCCAUUGCUGUGCGUCGGCUGCUGCGAUGCUGUACGCGGAGUCGGCUUUGACCACCUCGAUGUUGUCGCCGACCCAUUGUACCAGGCAUUGAUGCAUAGUUGACGGGAUGCAGCAGUUUGCGUGUAUCCAGUCUCGGCCAAGAAGCAUAUUAUAGGACCCUUUGCCAUUAAUGAUGAAAAACGUGGUAGGAAGGGUCUUACUGCCGAUGGUGAGGUCGACGCAGAGGGCACCGCGAGCGUUUGACACCUUGCCUUCGAAGUCCUUGAGCAUCAUGUCCGUCCUGGUUAGGUCGUCGUCGCUCUUUCCCAGCUUUCGGAGUACGGCAUACGGCAUGAUGUUGACGGCAGCUCCCCCGUCGACCAUCAAUUUAGUGAGGGGGCGACCGUCAACAUGCCCUUUAAGAAACAACGCCUUCAUAUGUUGUCGUUCGUCGUCUUCGGGCUUUUCGAACGUGGCCAUCAUUGGCUCCAAAGCCAACCGUGCUGUUUGUUCCUCUAUUGCCGACACGUUCUAUUGAUCGGCAGGGGUCAUAAACUCCAUUGGCAAUAUGAAAACCAUACCGAUUUCGGCUGCCGAUUCAUCACCCGCCGAUUCAUCGUUACCCUUGUCGUUUCCUUUGGGGCGCCAUACCCGAGGCCUCUCUUCCUUCUUGUCCAUCGCGCUUUCUUCUUCUUGCUGUUCCCAUUGGCGGAGGCGUUGGACUCUUCGUUUUUGUGAUUUGGUCAAACCAUCGGGACACCAUCUGGGGUUUAUUGGCCUCCCUUCUUUCCUGGCGCGUUCCCAUUCUGGCUCGCGUCCUAAUGGGUUCUCGUCUGUUACCCGAGCAUCGGCCAUGUCUUGGAGCCGACUGUGGACGCUGGCUUUGCUACUUGAUUGAUCGUGUCGAUCGGUCCUGCCCCCCUGCCUAUUAUGGCUUCUAUCUUCUGACCGAUCAUAUCGGUCACUUCUGCCCCCCAGCCGAUCACGCAUGGAAGGGCGCUGAUCAUCUGGGUUGCGCCGAUUCCUGCUGAUCGGUUCUGGCAUUCCGUCUCUGGAGCGAGACCUUGUGAACGGCCGAUUGCUCCGAUAGGGACCGUUGCACUCUGGGCAAGUAUCGGCUGAUGGAAGCCUGAGGUUAUUUUCCCAACAAUGGAUGAAGAAUGGGCAUCUCCAAUGUUCUUCGUGCCGACGCAUUGCUUCUUCUCGGGACCUCGAUCGUUCAUGUUGGCGUUGGUACUUUUGGAGCAGGAAUUGGGAAGUAAUACGUGGUCCUUCUGGCUCACCGUCGUCGGCCUCCAUCCAUCGCUUCCCCUUGAUGUCUUCAGACGUGACUUGAUUCCUGGGAUCGACAGCGCCACUCCUUUUUGCCGAUUCGGAUGUCAGCACCUUUGUCUGGAGGGGGUUCUUACCCGUAUCCACCAUGUUGGUAGGAAAAGGAUGCUGAUCAAUCUUCAUCGGUUUGGCCGGUUUUGUCGGCAUUUCAAAUUUGAGUCUGCCCUGCUCAAUGGCCGACUGUAUUUGUUGUCUGAAGAUUUUGCACUCAUUGGUAUCAUGUGACGUGGCAUUGUGCCACUUGCAAUAUUUCAUCUUCUUCAACUGUUCGGCAGAGGGUAUCGUGUGGUAAGGCGAGAGUUUAAUCUGUCCUUCCUGGAGUAGAAAGUCGAAUAUUUUGUCAGCUUUAGUUGUAUCGAAACCAAACGCUUCCGGCUCCUUUUUGCCGAAUGGGCAUGAUAUCGGCUUCUUUCCCUUAAUCCACUCUGCAAGUCCGAUUUCGGCGUCUCCUUCAUCCUCUACUUCUUCCAGGAAUGCUACUUUCUUCUGGAAAUUCCUCCUUGGAUCGAAUGAACGUACCUCUUGCCCGGACAAUCGGUAGACAAUUUGGCUCAAGCUCUCGAACUCUUGUGAAGCAUAUUUCUCCUUAAUGUGUGGCAGCAGGCCUUGGAAAGCUAUAUCGGCCAACUGAGCAUCGGUUAGGGCCAGGGAGUAGCAUUUGUUUCUGAUUUCCCGAAACCUUUGUAUGUACAAGGGUAUCGGCUCAUCACCUCGUUGCCGGAGGCUAGUUAAAUCAGACAACUUCAUUUCGUGGACUCCAGCAUAGAAAUAUUUGUGGAACUGCCUCUCUAGAUCGGCCCAUGUGAUAAUUGAGUUUGGUGGCAAAGUAGUGAACCAUUGGAAAGCCGAUCCAGACAAAGAUGACGAGAACAACCGUACCCGCAGGGCAUCUUGCGUAGCUGCCUCUCCGCAUUGGAUGAUGAAUCUAUUCACAUGUUCCACGGUAGAAGUAUCAUCCACUCCGGAAAAUUUAGUAAAAUCCGGAACUUUGUACCGAUGGGGAAACGGCAACAAGUCGUACGUAGAUGGGUAUGGUGUCUUGUAGGUAUAAGUUUGCACCUUCGGCUUCAGGCCGAAUUGUUCUUGCAUCACCUCCGCGAUUUGCGCCGUCCAAUCUGGUUGUUGUUGGGGAAUAAUUGGCGGCGGAAUCGGCACAUGUUGAUAAAUCGGAGGUUGAAUAAAAGGAGGUUGAUGAAAAGGUGGUAUCUGAGUAUAAACCGGCGGUGUAGUAAAGGACGGCUGCUUGUAGGCACCACUCGUUUCAUCAUAUAGCAUGAGCUCUGAUGUCUUGUUGACCUCCGGAGCGAUAGGUUGGUAUGGUGGUAUGAUCGGCCGAGUGGCCGUUUGGGAGGGUGUCUGGAACGGAGGAUUUCCUUGGCUGACCGAUUGAUUCAAACCGGUCGUGUUUAAGGGUGCCCCCCAGGGUAAGGGGAUGACUGGAGGGAGUGGUGCAGUGGACGGCUGGAUGGAGCCGUAUCCCAAAGGAGUUGAUGACGUAGAAGCACCAGAUCCUCCGACAGAGGAUUGGAUCGGCUGUGAAGCCUGAUAAGCCUGAUUUGGUGGAAUCGGCUGAAAAUACGUAGGCCCCCUGUACCCCUGUGGUAUACCUCCGGCGAAGGAGUUGACAACAGCAUUGUGUACCAUGUUUGAAAGUACUGGGGACUGGUUGAUGAAGGCGUGAUGAAGAGAUUGCUGAAUCAUAUCGGAUAUUUUGUCCGAAUCUUCUGAAAUCGUAAUCUGGCGGGGAGUAGGGAAAGGAGACUUUUUAACAGUUUCCCCGCUCCUGGAACGACUGAAGGAUUUCAAGCAAGUUUUCCGUACUUGCUCCAAAUACUGAUUGAGAUCUUCUUUCUGGUCGUCCUUUAGAUCUGCUUCCGUCACUUCGAUGACGUUAUCUUCGGAGACUUCAGCAGCUUUCGACAUGACAGCGGUUGUAACGGUCCCACCGGGCGUGCCAAAAGUGUGUUGGCGCUAGAAAUCGGUCAACCGGAUCCCAGCGGCCGACACACGACCCGGGAGAAUCUGCUUAGCUCCUGUUCGGGUGAAUGCCCUGGUGCGGUUCGCGCGGCGUGCCAGCCAAUCUGACCUGUUGAUUGGCAAGGAAGAACACGUGUCAAAUUCAGUGACUACGAUCGGCUAAGUUUCCGAUCGAGAGAGCUUAUCGGCAGAUCGGCCGAUUCACUGUGGUAAAGAAAUCGGCUACAAGACAGCACGACCCUUGUGGCCUUGUAGAUAGAAAAAUAUUAAAGUAAUCGGUACAAGGUACGUAGUAACAGCACUAGGAAAAGAUCUAAUCGGCAACAGAUGAAUCUGGCAACAGAAAGUAAUAACAGCCGAUACUACCGAUUCCUGGCGGGAUAACAGGUGAUAAAAACUAGGAAAGCAGGUAAAAACCUAUGAAUCUAGUCGAUAUCGAUAACUGAUGAAUAAACCUAAACGAAACAACAGCGAUGCGCCGGAAGUCAAAGCUUAGAUAUUACUCGAUAAACGGAACUUACAGAAUCGGCCGGAGAUCAAGAUGAUGCAGCCCUGCCAACCCGCACGAACUCGUGAGAAGGAAAAGUGAUGGCGAAGUCGCCUGCUCGAAAGUAAGUAUGAAGAAUAAAGUAACUUGUUGUAUUGAUUGAUUGUUGUCCUUACAGAUUUACAAAGGUAGCUAUUUAUAGCCCCGUACAAAUAAUCUUCUUAACCGACUAGAACUCUAUCUCUAAUUCAAACAGAAAACAAAUAUCUACAAGCACAAUCCGUGCUAAACUAAUUACCCCACGCUUCGUGGGCUGAAUCUCCACCCUAUCUCUCCAUCUUUCCAAGCCCAUACAGGCCCACCUUAGUCCACCUUCCUGAUCGGCCGAUUGGGAAUCUGGUGCAUUUACCCUGAAGCGAAGUAAGAGCUACUGACCGAUUCUGCUUUAUAGCAUCUUUUGACCGAUUUCAUCCGUACUUCUUCGACUUCUUUCCUCCUUGGCGCCGAUUCUACUGAUGACGAAAUCCGGCGUCAACAGCUCCACAUACCCCUUCAUGGAUUUCUCCCAUUAGAGUCUUGGCCUCUUCUGUCCCAAGGCAUUUGAGAAGGACUCCGUCAAUCGUUCGGUAGAACAGAUCAUCUUCGAGCAGUACGUAUUUGGUGGCAUGAAAGCGUACUCGUCGCUCCACCUUUUUAGACGGAUCCUUCAGGUAAUCGGCAAUUUCUUUACGCCAAUCGUCGGCUGCGAGUUCUAAAGCCAUAGCGCCCAGAAUCGGCCGAUACCCAGAUGCGUGCUGGGCGAGUUUGUUUGCUUCUUCGUUGCGGUCCCUUGGAACAUGCUCGAUUACUGCCGAUCUGAAUUCUUUUAAGAGUUGUAAGCAAUCUUCGUAAUAAACUCUUAAUACGUCAUCUUUACACUCAGCCCUUCCGGUCAGUUGAUCCACAAUAAGCAUAAAAUCUCCGAAGAUCUCAACAGAAUCGGCCUUGACUUCUCUCAAUAGUUGUAAGCCUUUUAAUACAGCUCUGUACUCCGCUUGAUUGUUAGUAGCGGCGGUUUCUAUCGGCAGAGAAAAAUCAUAGCUUGCCCCCCGAGGCGCUAUGAGAACGAUGCCGAUUCCUGACCCGACUCCGCAUGAUGACCCAUCGAAAAAUAAUUGCCAAGGCGCUAGUUCCACGAGGGCGAUCUCCGGUCCACAGUGCUGGGCGACGAAAUCGGCCAUGACUUGACCCUUGACGGCUUUUGCCGAUUCAUACCGUAGGUCAAAUUCUGAUAAAGCUAAGAUCCAUUUGCCGAUUCGUCCUUUCAAUAUCGGCAGCGAUAGCAUGUAUUUUACUACGUCAUCUUUGCACACGACUACACAUUCUGCCGACAAUAGAUAGUGCCUGAGUUUGGUGCAUGAGAAGUAAAGACACAUGCACAAACGCUCUAUCGGAGGAUAUCUUGUUUCAGCAUCCAGGAGUCUUCUACUGACGUAAUAAAUUACCCGCUCUUUGCCUUCAAACUCCUGGACCAGAGCCGACCCAAUAGCUUUUUCAUCGGCUGAUAAAUACAGUUUAAACGGCUUACCGGUUUGAGGGGGAACCAAUACUGGCGGCGAGACCAGGUAUUGCUUGAUAUCUUCUAACGCUUUGCGCUGCUCUUCUCCCCAUAUAAAUUGCUGGUCCGGCUUUAGCUUCAGAAGCGGCGUGAACGCCUGAAUCCGUCCAGAUAGAUUAGAUAUAAAUCUUCUGAUGAAAUUCACCUUGCCGAUUAGAGAUUGCAGUUCGGUUUUGUUCUGUGGGGCCACGACUUUGUUGAUGGCCGCUAUGGUCUUCCGAUUGACUUCUAUGCCUCGUUCGUGUACCAUGAAUCCUAAGAACUGUCCGGCGGAUACGCCGAAAGCACAUUUGUUGGGAUUCAUCUUAAGACCGUGCUUUUUAGUACACUCUAGCACCUUUCGCAAAUCGGCCAGAUGCUCCUCGUGACUUUUGGAUUUGACCACGAUGUCAUCGAUGUAGAUUUCUACCAGAAGGCCAAUGAGUUUGUGAAAAAUGUAAUUCAUAGCUCUCUGAUAUGUGGCGCCCGCGUUCUUCAAGCCAAAAGUCAUCACCACCCACUCGAACAAACCGAGAUGGCCUGGACAUCUGAAGGCCGUUUUGGGUAUAUCCUCUUCGGCCAUAAGUAUUUGAUUGUAUCCGGCGUUCCCGUCCAUGAAGCUAAUGACUUUAUGCCCCGCGGCGGCGUCGAUCAGUACAUCGGCCGUUGGCAUGGGGUAACCAUCCAUCGGUGUAGCUUGAUUAAGAUUCCUGAAAUCAACACAAACGCGCAGCUUCCCAUUUUUCUUGUAUACCGGUACGAUAUUAGAAAUCCACUCGGCAUAACGACACUGCCGAAUAAAUUUUGCUUCGAUUAGCCGAGUUAUUUCAGCUUUUAUGUCUGGCAAAAUUUUAGGAUUGCAACGCCGCGCGGGUUGUUGGUACGGCCGAUACCCUGGUUUUAUGGGUAGCCGAUGUUCAACAAUGGAUCGGUCUAAACCUGGCAUCUCGUGAUACUCCCAAGCAAAACAAUCCUUGAAUUCUCUUAACAAAUUUGUCAAUUUACACUUGUAUUCUGGAUCUAAAUUUGCACUAAUAAAAGUCGGCCUUGGUUUGGUUCCAUCACUUAAGUCUAUCAUCUCUAAAGAAUCGGCCAACGUGAACCCAUGCCCUAGCUUCCCAUCUUCUCGGGCGAACUGAUCCAUCUAGUCUGAGUCCUCAAAGCUGACUGCUCGGAUCGGCUGUAGGCCAAAAUCGGUGACCUUCAGGAAAUCGGUCUCCCAUACCCUACCUGAUAUGCACCUGACGGUUUCGCAGCUCCACUGCUGCGUGUCGGCUGCUGCAAUGCUGUAUGCGGAGUCGGCUUUGACCACCUCGAUGUUGUCGCCGACCCAUUGUACGAGGCACUGAUGCAUAGUUGACGGGAUGCAGCAGUUCGUGUGUAUCCAGUCCCGGCCAAGUAGCAUAUUGUAGGAUCCCUUGCCAUUAAUGACGAAGAACGUGGUAGGAAGGGUCUUACUGCCGAUGGUGAGGUCGACGUAGAGAGCACCGCGAGCGUUUGACACCUUGCCUUCGAAGUCCUUGAGCAUCAUGUCCGUCCUGGUCAGGUCGUCGUCGCUUUUCCCUAGCUUCCGGAGUACGGCGUACGGCAUGAUGUUGACAGCAGCUCCUCCGUCGACCAUCAAUCUAGUAAGGGGGCGACCGUCAACAUGCCCUUUAAGGAAUAAUGCCUUCAUAUGUUGUCGUUCAUCGUCUUCGGGCUUUUCGAACGUGGCCAUCAUUGGCUCCAAAGCCAGCUGCGCUGUCUGUUCUUCUAUCGCCGAUACGUCCUGUUGAUCGGCGGGAGUCAUGAAUUCUAUCGGCAAAAUGAAAACCAUGCCGAUCUCGGCUGCCGAUUCGUCACCUGCCGAUUCGUUGUCUCCUUUAUCGUUUCUUUUGGGGCGCCACACCCGAGGCCUGCCUUCCUUCUUGUCCGUCGCACUUUCUUCUUCUUGCUGUUCCCACUGGUGGAGACGUUGGAUUCUUCGUUUUUGAGACUUGGUCAAUCCAUCGGGACACCACCUGGGGUUUAUUGGUCUUCCCCCUGACCUGGCGCGUUCCCACUCCGGUUCACGUCCUAACGGGUUUUCAUCUGUCACCCGAGUAUCGGCCAUCUCUUCGAGCCGGCUGCGAACGCUGGCCUUACUAUCCGACUGGUCACGCCGAUCAGUCCUGCCCCCCUGCCUAUCAUGGCGUUUAUCUUCCGACCGAUCAUAUCGGUCACUUCUGCCCCCCAGCCGAUCACGCACGGGAGGGCGCUGAUCCUCUUGGUUGCGCCAAUUCCUGCUGAUCGGUUCUGGCCUUCCGUCUCUGGAGCGAGACCUGUUGAACGGUCGAUUGCCUCGAUACGGACUGUUGCAUUCUGGGCAAGUAUCGGCCGAGGGUAGCCUGAGGUUAUUUUCCCAACAAUGAAUGAAGAAUGGGCAUCUCCAGUGCUCCUCGUGCCGACGCAUCACCUCUUCCCGGGACCUUGAGCGUUCAUGCUGACGUUGGUACUUCUGGAGCAGGAACUGGGAAGUAAUGCGUGGUCCUUCUGACGCGCCAUCAUCGUCCUCCAUCCGCCGCUUCCCCUUGACAUCUUCGGGCGUAGCUUGAUUUCUGGGAUCAACGGCGCCACUCUUUUUGGCCGAUUCGGACGUCAGCACUUUUGUUUGGAGUGAAUUUUUUCCCGUAUCGACCAUGUUGGUAGGAAAGGGGUGCUGGUCGAUCUUCAUUGGCUUGGCCGAUUUUGCCGGCACUUCAAAUUUAAGUUUGCCUUGCUCAAUGGCCGACUGUAUUUGUUGCCUGAAGAUCUUGCACUCGUUGGUAUCAUGUGACGUGGCAUUGUGCCACUUGCAAUACUUCAUCUUUUUUAACUGUUCGGCAGAAGGUAUCGUAUGGUAUGGUGAGAGUUUAAUCUGCCCUUCCUGGAGGAGAAGAUCGAAGAUUUUAUCGGCCUUAGUUGUGUCACAACCGAAUGCUUCCGGUUCCUUUUUUCCGAAUGGGCAUGAUAUUGGUUUCUUUCCCUUGAUCCACUCCGCAAGUCCGAUUUCAACAUCUUCUUCAUCUUCUAACUCUUCCAGAAACGCCACUUUCUUUUGGAAAUUCCUCCGUGGAUCGAAAGGACGCACCUCCUGUCCGGACAAUCGGUGAACAAUCUGGCUCAGACUCUCGAACUCCUGUGAAGCAUACCUUUCUUUGAUGUGGGGGAGAAGGCCUUGAAAAGCUAUAUCGGCCAAUUGCGCAUCGGUUAGAGCCAGGGAGUAGCACUUGUUUCUGAUUUCCCGAAACCUCUGUAUAUACGAGGGUAUCGGCUCAUCAUUCCUUUGCCGGAGGCUAGUCAAAUCGGACAGCUUCAUCUCAUGCACCCCGGCAUAGAAGUACUUGUGGAACUGUCUUUCUAAAUCGGCCCAUGUGAUGAUCGAGUUUGGCGGCAAAGUCGUGAACCAUUGGAAGGCCGAACCAGACAGAGAUGACGAGAACAACCGAACCCGUAGGGCAUCUUGCGUAGCUGCUUCCCCGCAUUGGAUGAUGAAUCUAUUCACAUGUUCCACGGUCGAGGUAUCAUCCAUCCCCGAAAAUUUAGUGAAAUCAGGGACUUUAUACCGAUGGGGGAACGGCAAUAGGUCAUACGUAGAAGGGUAUGGUGUUCUGUAGGUGUAAGUUUGCAUUUUCGGCUUCAAGCCGAAUUGUUCUUGCAUCACCUCCGCAAUCCGUGCCGACCAAUCUGGUUGUUGCUGGUGAACUUUUGGCUGAGGCAUCGGCACAUGCUGAUAAAUUGGAGGUUGAAUAAAAGGAGACUGAUGAAAAGGUGGUAUCUGAGUGUAAGCCGGCGGUGUAGUAAAGGUCGGCUGUUUGAAUGAACCACUCGUUUCAUCAUAUAGCAUGAGUUCUGCUGUCUUGUUGACCUCCGGAGCGACAGGCUGGUAUGGUGGUAUGGUCGGCCGAAUGGCCGCCUGGGAGAACGCCUGGAACGGAGGGUUUACUUGACUGGCCGAUUGAUUCAGACCGGCCGUGACUGAAGGUGCCCCCCAGGGUGAUGGGCUGACUGGAGGGAAUGGUGCAGAAGACAGCUGGAUGGAGCCAUAUCCCAAAGGAGUUGAUGAUGCAGAAGCGCCUGAACUCCCGACAGGAAAUUGAAUCGGCUGUGAAGCCGAAUACGGAUAAGCCUGAUUUGGUGGACUCGGCUGAAAAUAUGUUGGUCCUCUGUACCCUUGAGGUACUCCACCAACGAAGGAGUUGACAACAGUGUUGUGCACCAUGUUGGAAAGUACCGGGGACUGAUCAAUGAAGGCGUGAUGAAUAGACUGUUGAAUCAUAUCGGACAUUUUAUCCGAAUCUUCAGAGAUCGUGAUCUGGAGGGGAGCAGGGAACGGAAUCUUCUUGAUGGUCUCCCCGCUUCUGGAGCGACUGAAAGACUUCAGGCAAGUUUUCCGGAACUGUGCCAUAUACUUGUCCAGAUCUUCCUUCUGGUCGUCCUUCAGAUCUGCUUCCGUCACUUCGAUGACGUUAUCUUCGGAGACUUCAGCAGAUUUCGACAUGACGGCGGUUGUAUUUGUCCCACCAGGCGUGCCAAAAGUGUGUUGGCGCUAGAAAUCGGUCAACCGAAUCCCAGCGACCGACACACGACCCGGGAGAAUCUGCUUAGCUCCUGUUCGGGUGAAUACCCUGGUGCGGUUCACGCGGCGUGCCAGCCAAUCUGACCUGUUGAUUGGCAAGGAGGAAUACGUGUCAGGUUCAGAAAUCGCGAUCGGCUAUGUUCCGAUCUUGAGAGAGUUUAUCAGCGAGUCGGCCGAUUUACUAUGAUAACGAAAUCGGCUAUAAGACAGCCCGAUCUCUGUAGCCUUGUAGACAGGAAAUUGCUAAAGUAAUCAGUACGAAGCUAUGAUAACAACACUAGGAAAAGAUCUAAUCGACAAUAGAUGAAUUUAAUAGCAGAACGUGGAAAGAGCCGAGACUACCGAUUCCUAGCUGGAUAACUGGUGAUAAAGACUAGAAAAAUAGGUAAAACCUAUGAAUCUAGCAAAUAUCGAUAACUAGUGAAUAAAUCUAAACGAAACAACAGCGAUACGCCCGAAGUUAAAGCUUAGAUAUUACUCGAUAAACGGAACUUACAGAAUCGGCCGGAGAUCAAGAUGAUGCAGCCCUGCCAACCCGCACGAACUCGUGAGAAACGAAAAGUGAUGGCGAAGUCGCCUGCUCGAAAGUAAGUACGAAGAGAAAGUAGCUUGUUGUAUUGAUUGAUUGAUGACUACAGAUUUACAAAGGUAGCUAUUUAUAGCCCCGUACAGAUAACUUCUUAACCGACUAGAAUUCUAUCCCUAAUUCAAACAGAAAACGAAUAUCUACAAGCACAAUUCGUGCUAGGUUGGUUACUCCACACUUCGUGGGCUGAUUUCCACCUUAUCCUUCUAUUUCUCUCCAAGCCCAUACAGGCCCAACUAGCCCAUCCUCCUAAUCGGCCGAUUCCUUAUCGGCAAAAGAUUACCGAUUGGGACUCUGGUAUAUUCGACUCAUAGCGAGACAGAGGUAAGCGGCCGAUCUCACACUGUAGCACUAUUUGGCCGUCCCAACUGUGCUUCUCCGAUUCCUUCUCUUCUUGGCGCCGAUUCUACUAGUGACGAAAUCUGGCGUCAACAGGAUGACAUCAUGAUUCUUUUAUUUUAUUCUUCCCACUUGCCCUGCUGCCUUGAUUCGUAGUUGAUUAGUAAAAUUACAGUUACAUUUCAAGGACAAAACGAAUGCAUUUCCCUAUCGUUUCUUGCAAUGUUAUCAUGAUUGCUGUAGCCCUCUAUUUUAUUUGCCCCAUGCGGGCCUCAUGAAAACUUCUAAUUAGUUCUAUUCUUUACACUACAGAUACCUAUUGCUUUGAAAAUGUUGAGGAUUAUUAGCAAGUGCAAAUUUUGAAGUCAUAUAGCUUUGAUAUAUCAGUUUAUUGCGACUUGAGUGUAGUAUAUACCGGUUAAUUUGCACGUGAAAACAAAAAAAAAAAGAUUUAAUGCCAACUAUAAUUCCUCCUUUAUGUAUGGGUUUGUAUUGAUAUCCACGUGGGCGUCGUACGUGCAUGUCUACUAGUAAAUCUCUACUAUCUCUACUAUAAAAAAACAAAACUAAGACUAUUUUUUGGUACGUCAUCUUCCGCUCGGUGGUUUCGUUCCGCGGUAUAUCAAUUUCCCUCCGUCCGAUCCAAAAAUCUCAUACCUCCGGUUCCUCCGCUCCGGUUCCGCGCCCGCGGUGCACAAGCACCAUCCGCAUCGCCUACCUCCGUCUCCUCCGCAACAACUGUCGCCCUAUCUUGCCGCCGCCGCUGCCCACCUUGCACGAUCCAGCUCCUCCCCGCCGCUUGACGACACCGUCUCCACGCCCACCGUGACGCUCCACUCGAUCUUCGUACCCCCCUAUGCGCUCGCCAGAUCCCCCUCCGUCUACGCCACCGCGGUCGACGCCGAGGACCGGGCCGUCGUGCGCGUCCACAGCCCCGACGGUUGCCCCGUCGCGUGGCACCUCCGCUUCUCCCUCCUCCUCCGUGCCGCCGCCGUCCCCCGUCCUCCUCCGCACCGUCUCGCCAUCGCUGUCACCGUCCAGGUCUGCCCCGCGCCCCCCCUGGACGUCGCGGCGGCCGAGCCAGCCGCGCUCGCCGUGCCCCUCUCUGCGCCCUUCACCAUCACGUCCUCGCGCCUCAACGCCGUCUCCAAUGUCGUCGUGCACGUCGAGCUCCGCAAUGGCACCAUCGGGUGGGGGAGGCCGCCGUGCUGCCAUCCGUCGCCGACGAGGACCAGCCGGCCGCGCUCGCGGCCUGCGGCGUCGCUCCGCGCGCUACUCGACGAGGUCAGCCACCCCUCCUCCCCCCUCCCCCUCCCCCUUCCCAUCUCAAAUCUUUGAGAACAUCAACGUCUUGCAUCAAUUGAGAUGUGGGGUAUGUAUGUGGAAUUUGUUCUAAUAUGUUCCAUUAUUUCAAGUUCUACAUCUCAAUCGGUUCAACAUUUGCACAUGGUCAUGGAACAGGGUGUUCUGGAAGCAAUCCGGAUCAGCUGUGCUAGCUAUCCAACAAAGAGGACAUUUGAUGAGCUCAUUAUUGAUCGGUUUGGAAUGCUUGCACCAGAGCUUGUGGACAGGUAUGAAUGCUCUAGCUGUGGGAUUUAAGUAGGCGAUAUAAAUAGGGGUGAAGCUCUAAGUGAAAUAUGCCAGUAAAAUAUAUUCUGAUUUUUCUGAACUAUACAUUUCAAAAAAAAAAUCUGAACGAUUAAAGUGAGCUUAAUGCUUUUGCAGCUCUGAUGAGAAGGCCGCUUGUGCAGCCAUACGUGAUAGAAUGGGUUUGAAAGGAUAUCAGGUAGCCUAUGUCAAUGGGUGAAUACAGGAGAUAAAACAAUCUUAUACAGCAUAUACUUUUUUCACAAGACCUCAUCUCGAAGAGCGAAUGCUGUGCGACUAAUCCAGAGGCGUAUAAAGACACAUCUUAUGCGAAAGGAAUUCAUCAAAUUACGAAAAGCCUCAAUUAAAUCUCAGAAGUUCUGGAGAGGUAUUUCUUCACUGCUCGGAGCACUUUGUGUCUUUAAGGUCAGUAAAACUGGUCGUACCUGAAACUGACGUAUAAUGUAAUCAAAUCCUGCAACAAGACUAGCUAGAAAGCUUUUUGAGUAUAUGAGAAGAGAUGCUGCUUCAAUUAGGAUACAAAAGCAUGCACACACCCAUUUUGCCAGAAAAGCGUACCUUCGAGUAUAUGAAUCAGUUAUAGUAAUACAGAUAGGAUUACGAGCAAUGGCAGCUCGCAAUGAACACAGGUUCUGAAGAGAGACCAGGGCUUCCAUAAUUAUCCAGGUUCGCGCUGUAACAGAUGAUUUGUAGUUAGUUUUUAUAAGAAACCAUAAGUAACUGCUUUAUGAAUCACAGACUCGAUGGCGCCAACACAAAGCUUAUGUUGCUUAUAAGCAGCAAAAGAGAGCUUCGUUGAUUCUUCAGUGCUUAUCACAGAUGCAAUCUUCCAUUUUUUUGAAUUCUUGCAAUCGAAAAGAAAUUAAGAAAGGUAUAGAAGGUUUUAUCAAUAUUGAUGUGGGUAUAGUGACUCAGAUGCUUUUCUGAACUAAUCUUUGACUGACAUUUUAUUUCCAUGCUAUACUUGUAAGGUGAUUUGGAGAAUACUUAUAUGGGGCCAGAUUACAGUGGCAAAAUGAUUUUGCUCCUUGAUAUCCUGUCGAAAAGUUCUGAAUUGGGCGACAAGGUAUUGGUGUUUAGCCAGAGCUUGACUACCCUGGAUUUAGUGGAGUUUUAUCUGUCAAAGUUGCAAAUUAAAGGAAAAGAAGGCAGACAUUGGAAGCGGGGGAAGGAUUGGUAUAGGUAUGCUUCCACAGUUGAUUUUCUUUUGUACACAAGAACAUUGCAGUUGCUGGUGUGGCAGUUUCACAAGUAUCUGUUUUCUUUUGGUUCUUAUACUUUGUGUCAUUCUCAUGAGAUAAAACUGUUUAUAACCUACUCUUCAAUAAGAUCCUGGACAUAAUGCUUUGUGUGCAACCACUUCCACGGCCUUCCCAUAGUAUGAUGUCUGUUCAUGCAAACUAAAAAAUUAGGCCUUAGGGAAGAAUCCCUGGUGGGAACUGGACUUUGAGUCUGGAAAGUGGUGUUUCUUUGUGAUUCAUGUGGGAAUGAAACCAUUGUGAAACCUGAAAAAUCUUCAAUUUGAUUAGUUCCAGGAUACCCAUUAUCACUUUGGUGCCAUCUGCUUUGUUUGCUCUGGAGUGUUUUGAACUAUUAAUCUGCCAUUAUUGGCAGAAACAGGGCUUCAAGUAGGGACUAGGAAAUCUGCAAUCAUGUCCUACUCCUUCAACACAAAGCAUCUAUAUUUUUAUCUUAGUUCUCGUAUUCUGGUGUGCUGGUCAGUAACUAAAUAUAGCUCUUAUGAUUCCAGGCUCUGUCAUAUUCUUUUUUCCUAUGGGAAACUGUCAUGUUUCUCUUUGGAAUAUUCUGUAGUGCUAGCAUGACAGUAUAGUCUUCUAAUGUAAAGCAGUCAUCAUAAAGACUUGGAUACCAUCAUUGUUGAUACCUAUUUCUGUAAAGACUAUUGUUAUUCUUGGCAUGCAUUUUUACUAGAGUUGCUUAUCAUCAUUAUUACUGUGUGAUCUUGCAAAUAUUAUAUAUCCAUCUCAUGCUGAACAGGCUUGAUGGGAGCACUCCAUCUUCUGAUCGGCAGAAUCUUGUGGAGAUGUUUAAUGACCCUGAAAAUGCAAGAGUGAAAUGCACGUUGAUAUCAACUCGUGCUGGAUCUCUGGGCAUUAAUCUUCAUGCUGCAAAUCGUGUGGUUCUUUUGGAUGGAUCCUGGAAUCCAACACACAAUCUGCAAGCCAUUUAUCAAGUUUGGAGACCAAGAAGCUUUUUAGCAGACAGCAUGACUGCCCGCACAUCCCUGCAAUUUGAACUGCGGUGUGGCUAAUAAUCUUCAUGUUAAAUUGGCUAGAGGCUGUUGGAUUGGGGCACUACUUGGAUUGAUAUUUCUGUCAAAAAGAUUUUUGAAAUAUUACAUGGAAGAGGGAUUGGGUUAGAGAGGAGAGAAAGUAGCAUUCAAAUUAUAGGUAUUACUGUAGUUUCUUUAUGGUGAACUGUUCUGAAAAUUGCUUACCGCGUGCAUCUCUUGCUUUUCAACUUGUCACAACUAGUCAGUGGCCUCACGCAGUACGUCCAACUUUGGCAUGUGGUUGCCACUGUCCAUUUGCUGAGCGGCAUCGAGGAUGUCAUCUCCUGGCGUUGGGAAACCUGUGGGUCAUACUCCGCCCGAUCGGCAUACCACAUGUUCUUCCACGGCUCCACUGUUUCGCCGAUCUUCAGGACUGUGUGGCACGCUUGGGCACCUUUGAAAGUCAAGUUCUUUCUUUGCCUUGCGGCCAAGGGUAGGAUCUGGACCGCCACAAGGCGCAAACGACAUGGGUUGCAGGUCACCGAUGACUGCAAUCUCUGUGGCCAAGCUGCUGAAACGGUGGAUCACCUCUUCAGUCACUGUGCAUAUGCCCGUCAGGUGUGGUUUCAGGUUGGACAAAGAACUAACAAUCAACUACCGAACCUCACCGUGGAUUCCAACUUGAUUGAUUGGUGGCUCUCUAUUCGGGCCAACAUGACCAGCGUCAAAGCUAAAGGCCUAGAUUCUACUGUCAUGCUGGUCUGCUGGCGGUUAUAGAAAGAAAGGAACGGCCGAGCCUUUGCCACUACCGUUGCUAGAACACCGCAACAACUCCUGCUGCUCAUUGCCGAAGAAGCGUCGCUUUGGAUUCAGAGUGGUGCCCGAAACAUGGAAGCCUUUGGUUGGCAGCCCCCCGGCCUCUAGCUAGCGUUACAGCUCUUCUGUCCUAAGUUAGGCUCCUAGACGCCCCCCUUAACAUAUGUAAUCUAUGUCUAUUUCCAUUACCGUGUGCGAGUGCCCGGUUAACGGCCCGUGUUGUACCAACUUUAUAUUAAAUUCCUCUUAAUUGAAUGAUGCGCAGCUCUCCUGCGUAUUCUAGAAAAAAACUUGUCACAAGUACACUAUUAGAAUCUUUUUUAGAUCAGUAAUAUACUUAUUUAUUCAUGAUGCUUCAGUUAUGCUUCUCUGAAGUACAUGUUGGUCUUUUCCUUUCUGUUUUGUUGCAUUUUCCCCAACUCGGCGGCUGUGCAAUUGAGAGGAGCAGAGGUGCAGGACAUGGCUUGAAUGGCCCAUGAGGGAGAUGGAUUGGGAGGAGUCCAUGCUGGAUUUGUGGCUCGGGUAGGAGGAGCGGCUGAGGAGAUGGCGUGCUUUGGUAUGUUGGAGAUGCAACAGAAACGGCAAGCCAUGGCUGGGAUCGGCGUUGGGCAAGGCAGGGUUGUCAUCAUGGUUGCCGGUCAAUCGGUUUUUAGGAAUCGCCGAGGAGGUCACCGAUGGGGACAGUACUCUACUUAUUUUGUUUAAAUUUUGUGUGCCCGAUUCUUUUGAUUUGCCAAUAACCAUACGAUUUCACUCAGCAACCUGCCCACAACCUGCCCACCGCUGCCGGGAGUUAAUUGCAAUUUACAAAAAGUAUGUUUUCAUAACAUGAGUAUUCAAUAGUCACGGUAGGCAGAUUAGUGAAACUUCUAGAUGAGUGCUUCGACAUUUUUUUUAUCACAUUGAUAAUUGUACUUAAUUAUAGUAUUUUCAUUCCAUGCUAAUUGCUAAAGCAAGUUAAAUUAUAUAUGAACUUAAUUUGCUUUUGAACGUUUUUCGCGUAUGUUAAAUUGCUAGCUAAUCUACGUUCUUCCGCGGAUGCUGCUGAAUGGUUAUCCCCAAAUUUCUAUAUUGCUAUUUUGAUGCUUGUGAAGAGAAAUUAUUGUCCGUAGCAACGCGCGGGCACGAUCCUAGUGUAGUAGAAAUAUAUAAGGGAAACACAAAAUUUGUACAACGGUUUGGAUAGCACUCAGAGAAUACAAUUCCGAAUUUUUAAUGGUACUCAGAAAAUGCCUCUUUUUCACCCCCUUUUCACUUGCCCAAUAAAUUUCUCGGGGCAGGUCGCAUUGGGCCUGAUCCACCUUCUCCCUGUAGGCGUCGCACGGGCCUGAGUUCUGAAACCCGGGCCUUGGCCUGCGUUUCUUCGCUAGGGUUCCUGAACCCGCAGGCCCAACUAAUAGCGAGGUGAUCUCGUCCGUUCGACGCAUCCGACGGCCGAUGUCGCUCCCGAGUCCCACCUCUCCGAUGUCGUUCCUGCAUUCGUCCCCGUCCCGUCGACCUCGCGAAGACGAAGGUGGUCGUGGCAAUGAGCAAGGGAGAAGAGUCAGAGAGGAAGUAUUUUACUCGUCUCAUUGAAGAGAUGGAGAUGGAGGAGGAGGAAGAGGAGGAGGAGGAGGAGGAGGAGUCCGGUAAAAUUACAAAGGAGAGGCCUCUUCCACACAUUGUCAAGUACCAUGGUAAAGUUCAGCAUUCGUAUGCUAUUCCUUUGUACUAAUUACUUUGUAGUUCGAAUUUUUCCUUGAUUAUGGGGGCCUUUAGCAUCCAAAAUUUGUCAAGAUCGGGGCAUUUUUCCUUUAUUGUCUACUCUAUAGAUUAAUUUGUUCGACAAACAUGAAUAAGAGCACGCUUGCCGCCAUAUCUAUUUCUGAUGAUGAUUUCUUCUCGCCUCUUCUGCAUUUUUACUUGUUUCGUAAGAUCUCUUGGAGAAAUUAUGGGGGUGGGACAGGCUGCUUGACUUGGGGAUUGCCGUGCCCUUGUCUGUCUAUACCACAUACCUUGAAGAGUAUCACCGUCACAAUGUGCAUGCAGCUACUACAUUCACGAGCCUAUCUGCUCCCGCUGGGACUGUAAGUAAUUAAACCUCCUGUGCUGCGUUGCGUGCCACUUUACCAAACCACACACCCGUUUUUAUAUGCUACUCCUGUUUAAUGAUCCAUGCUUUCAAUCAAGCAGUGUCUCACGAAUGAGAAGCGACUUGUAUCUGCGUUGAAGCUCCGGGUGGAAACUGAACAGGAGACGAGCUUGAUGAUAUGGAGAUCAAUCAUUCCGAGUUGCCUGAUCCAGGAGCAUGCACGUUCAGUGGUCCACACAGCAGAUUGCAGCUUUUCUGAUGUUUCUGGUGUGGCUUUGUUGGUAUGUUCAUUCCUCUCCUGGCCUGGCUGUAACACACCAAGCAUUUCUCUUGUAUGUAUAUUUGACCAUGAAAAUAUGUUAUGUAGUAGUUUCUCUGUAUCUGGCCCGGACAAUUAGCUGAAAAAUAAAUCUGUUGUCCCAACUAUAACUGAACCAUUUUUAUCAAUGUCAGGCUGUCAUUGUCUCCUGGAAAACUAGUUCUACUUACUGUUACAUGACUAUAUAUAGCUGGCCACUUUGAGUUACGAUCGUUACUAUGCUCAUUCACGAGAUUACAGUAACUCUCUCCUAAAGAAUUUGUUUAGUGUGUGUAGUAUCCUGUGGCAGUAACAGAGUAGAUGCAAGGCAGUAAAUCUGUCCUGGUUCCUCAAUUUUUAUCCUUUAUUUGUCAUCCAUAUGGGUAGCUUGAACUGGCAGUCUAGCACUAUCCAACUUGGUAUGUAUACCUUAAUUAAAAUAGCUGAAAUAUUUAGGUACAUUAUAGAAAUGUAGGACAACCUGGCAGUCUAGCAUUGUCCAACUUGGUGUAUACACCGUAGGUAAAAUAGCAGAAAUAUUCAGGUGCAUUAUAGAAAUGCAGUAGGCCAACCGGAAGAAAUUGGUGGCUCCCUUUUUUGUUAAGGAUAAAUUAGCACCUAAAUUUGCCUUGACGAGUUGGAUGUUUUUUUAUUAUUUUGCUCGGAUUUUUUAUGGUCAUUGUACUAAUGCAAAACGAUGGUUUCAAGUGUAUUGCUAAGGAGGCUGAGCUGAUGUUUGAGUUCCUGAGGCUUGAAGCACCCAUUGAUGAUGAAUUAAUCACCCAGUGCACAACAAUACGCUUGUGUGCCUUGAGCCUUAUGAACUGCACUCGGGACAAUUCUGUUUCUGCAUCCGCUGUUAUGUUGGUACGUGCUUGCCUUCAAAAAACCCACCUAAUGUUAUCAUCCAUCCAUCCAUUUGACAAACCAACGAUCAUCACCUUAUGGAUCAUCUGUCAAACUUUAUAAUACCAUCCAUCCAUUCUUGAGCCUUAUGAACUGCACUUUACACAAUUUUUUUACUACUAGCUUGUCGGCUCUAAUGGUAUACUAACGUGUGGCUUCAAUUUAAGGGUAUGGUGAAGGAGGCUGAAAUGAUGUGUUCGUGGAUGCGUAAAAAUAAUAAGCCUAUUGAUUUCUCUUUUUAUGCCGCACCUAGUGAGAUGUGGGACUGCAAUGUUAUCCGGCGCAGUACCCUGGAAUUUAUGGUCAACAAAUUACUAAAAAAUUCUUCGGCUGCCAAGCGCAAGACUGUUAAGGAAGAACCUGCUGCUGAGCACAUGACUGUCAAGGAAGAACCUGCUGCUGAGCACAUGACUGUUACGGAAGAACCUGCUAGAAGUGGUCCUGGGGGUGAUGGGGAUAAUAUUGCUGCUGAUGGAGCAGCAAACACCACAGGGUAUGGAUGGUCCACUUGUUUUCUUCCUUCUUGAUGCAGCUCCAUGUGGUCUUUGUUUGUUACUACUUCUUGGUGACAAGCAUUGUCAUAAUAUGCCAUUUGUCUGCAUUAUUACCAGGGGUUCUCAGUAUAAGAAAGGUGGUGAGAAGAGUAACAAGUGGAAAGGUGGUGAGAAUUUCGGUGGUGAGAAGAGUAAUAAGAGGAAGAGGAAAGAAGGUAAGAAAUAAGCUAAUCACAAAACUUACGAUUCUUAUGAGCUUUCUUAAUUCCCUUGCAUUAUACUUCAUAUGUAAUGUUGUUUUGGUGUUGUUUUCAGAAGAUGUUUUGGGUAAAAUAUGGUGUUGGGAAAGGCUGGUGAUUCCACCAGACAGUUCUGUUAAGUGGUCUGACUAUAGGAGCUACCUUGAGAAGUAUUAUGAAAGCAAUGCUUCUGGGUUCGUUGCUGCUGCUGCUGCUAAAAAUCCGCAAAAUGUUACUGACAUGGGCCUUGCUGUUGCCAAAUUUGUUAGUAACCCUCUUGCAUCUUUACUAAACCACCGAUGAUCUUACUGAAGCUGUUUGUGUAGCAUAUUUCAAACUCACAAUUUUUUUCAAUUAGUGUCUCGAGAUGGAGGAGGAACUCCUGUCUGUGUGGAAUACUCAAGUGUUGCAUAGGUUUGGUGAGCCCCUAGCAGCCAGCGCUAUCGUGGAGAGUAGCCUGAUCAAGGAGCAUGCGCUUUUAAUCUGUGGCACAGGGGCUGAAUUGGAUCUUCCUUCUGCCAUUGCUUUUGUGGUAUGUGCGCCUACCUUGCCUGAACAGACCAAACAAAACAUGCUGUUUCGUAUUGUACCACCGGAAUGCUAUUCUUUUCUGAAUCCUAGUGACUGAAUUUGUGCUGCUGUUAUUAAAAAAAAAUCUAAAAUGAGGGGUGGGGGAUGAAAAUCAUGCUCGGAGGGCAGGGAAAUGAAAAACCUUUGUCUCACUGUCAUGUUGGCAUUGUGAUGUGCUACUCAUUGUGGCAAAUUAUAGGCAAUCAUCUUGUAUCUUUCAUGUAAUCUUGAAACACUGCCUCGACGGUGUUUGAAUUUGGCAGCUGCAUGAACUGGUUCAAAUUUUUAUAUAACCAGCGCUAAGAAUUAAUAGCAUGAUUAUCCAAUCUUGGUUCCACACUUGUUUUAUCGUAGUUGAAAUCCUUGCCUAUCUCACUCACUGGAUGGCCAAACAACGUUGAGUGUUACCCUAGAAGGCUUGAACUUUGACCUAUGUUGAGGGAGGGAUAUAAAAUAUUGACAGGUUUCAUUGCACAAUAUUUAAGUAUGGCCUUGAGAACCCAAGUCUUAAAUGUUUACUGUAUCACUUGUCCACACUGAUAGCUUGGACUAGUUCCAUCCAACUUAGCAGCACAUACAGUAAAGCAGUUCUUUGGGCAGAAUAUAGGGUAUUUCUUUGAUUCUUCCUACAGUUUUUUGUGACUAAUGCCUAGCGUUGGUUUCAAGUGUAUUACCAAGGAGGCUGAACUGAUGUGUGAGCUGCUGAAGCAUGGUGCUCAGCCUUCUUCUCAAUUCAUCCAGCUGAGCUGCGUAAUCCGCAUAUGCGCCUUGGGCCUUCUCAAAGGACACCAAUCUUUUGCUUCUGCUGCUGCAAUGAUGGUUAGUGCCUACCUGUGUGUGCUGAAUUUUAACAAGUAUCGAUCCAUUCUUUUCUGUAAAUUACCUACGCACGUUGGCACUGGUUGCAAAAUGAUGAAUGUAUUCAAUUCAAGGGUAUGGCAAAUGAGGCCGAAGAGAUGUGCGAUUGGAUGAAGAGAGAGAACAAGCUUGUUACCUUAAGCUUGUCCAAGCCGCGUGGACUCGAGAUUUCCCACUUGAUCCGGAAUACAGCCUUGGAUGUUAUGACCAGCAUAUUGCAUGAGUCUUCCUUCCCAUCCUCCAAGGUUAUAUAGUGGAAAAUACUUUUUUUUUGUGCCGUGUGGGCCUCGUGAAAAAUUGUCUAAUUGAUUCUAUUCUUUCCACUGCAGACGCCGGAUGAUGCAAUGCCAUGACUAAACAUUGCCGGAUUGGAUCAAGGAUGGGAUCCAUAUGGAUUUGAUGUUUGUUCUUUUUACUGGCCUGGAACACUAGCUUUGCAAUUUUUAUUUAAAAAAAAGUGUUUAGGACCUAUUGUGUUCUCUAUCCUGCUAAACUUGCUCUGGUACCAGCUGUGGCGGAGCUCCUCGGAUUAACUUAGCUAAAUCACAUUUAAGUCGCCUAACAUGCGAUCAUAUGCUUUAAUUAAGUUAACUCGACGAUCCGUCGUAUUUCAUCCGAUAAAACCACUUAUACAGGACCGAGUUAGCAUAGGUCACAUGAAGGUGAGUGGUUCCAAAGAAUACAACAGAUCAUUCGAGUUAAACAAGUUCAACAAUUUAUUUCAACACUGGUUCGAAAAUCAGAGUUUUACAAGAUUCAAAAGCAGCGGAAAAGGUAAAACAGAACGGCUAAAGCUAGCGUCGGGUCGGAUGUCACUGAUGAGGCCAAUCAGGACAUAAGUGAUCCCUUUCCUCGCCGUCCGAGCAGGGAUCCCACUCGAUCGUCCACCCAGGAGGAAGCUGGGGCGGCCAAGUGCCAGCAGUAGCACACUCAGAAGCUUCAACUUCACCUGAAAAAGAUGCCACAAACAAGGCUGAGCUACUAAGCUCAACAAGACUUAACCGACCGGUGGGGAAAACUACUCCACCAACUUCUAGACAUGCAAGGCUCUUUGGCUGAGGGGUUGGUUUUGCCAAAAGCAACUAUGGUAGGUCCUUACUUUCAAUAUUUUAGCUCCGGUUCUAAGUUCAUUAACCAGUCUACAUUGGCACUUGCUAAGCAAACACAAACCAAACAAAAAGUGUAUAUAUAUAUAUAUAUAUAGAUAUAUAUAUAUAGCUCAAGCGUUAAGUUCAUAUUAUCAUCAUGUUCCAUCUUUACUCAGUGUAGCAUAGCGAUCAAGCAGUCUCAAACUGUGAGAGGCAGACGAAUCGAUUUGGGUUCCUUAACCAUGCAUGGCGAACCUAACCUCACGACAUCCGCGCACCGCCGAGGGUCGCUUCCUGUGUCGGCCGUCCCCAUCAAUCCCCUGACCCGUGUCGGGCCCACUUCCCUUAGUGCAAUAUUCCACGGACCCGGCCUCUGCCGUUCUGCGACCACACUUGCCACCACAUGCGGCCACAGGGGAAACUCUGUUCCAGAGGCAGUGGAUCGAACCGCUCACGUCCAGGUUCAAUCAGGUACUAGACUUCCCCAUCCCAUACUGGGUAUAAGAUUAGUACUUUCAAACACUUGAUCACGAACACCACCACUGUCAGACCUUAAACAGAUUCAAGUAGACAGACGGGGCGAUCAACCGACCACCAAAAAGGUUCACCAGGCCCUGCCCCGUCCACCGUCCUUAUAGUUGUAACCAGAAGGAGAACAACCAACUCCUAUAACUCGCGAGUGACAGGAAAUUACUCGAAUUUUACCGAGUCCUAUUAAGCAACGCGACUACUCGGACUUAUCAGACUAGUGUUCAGAUCAAGGGAACUAAGUCAUGCAUCUAUGGUUUCAAACAACUCCUAUAACGUAAAUGCACAUACAAACGAAGGAAGGCAUAUGCAAGUUUAGAAAGUUGGGGUCAUGCUCCGGGGCUUGCCUUCGAGCGGGGCGGAGGCAAAUUGAUCGUCUGCGAGUUCUGUUUCAGCUCAUGCGGUCGGCGGCUCAGCUACUGCUCCGUCUUCUGACACCGGAUGCAGCUCGUAUGUGCCAUCGGCGAGAUUUAGUUCUACACGGAAGUGCAAAUGCAGGGUUAAACAUUUAGACAGUUAUUUCAACGACACUUGCACGCUUUAGCUCAGAAACUUGUAGCAAAGUUACAGGAAAAAGGGGUGGAAUUCCAAGCUUUAGUUGAUAGAGAACAAGACAAAAGGGUCGGAUUGGGAGAAACUUAUGAUCUGACCCUCAGACCUAAGGAAUAACUGUACCGGGGUCCUCAGACUUAACACAGAGAAGUUCCCAAAAUUUUACACAGAUACCCUCGGGUCAAAGAAAAAGAUACAGCCGAGCCCUCGGGCGAGGCGGACAAGGGUCGGCGAAACAGACAGGGUCGGGCGAACCGGAAAGGGGUCGGCAGCUUACCUUUAGGCCUACUGGUGAAGUCUUGGGGUCAGGAAGGAACAGACUCAGGCGGAAGGACCUGAGGCGCUAAGGCUUAGGCGGCGGCGGGGUCCGACGGUGCUUCAGCGGCGGCGGUGUUUCUUGUGGACAACAAGCAAGCUCUAGCACCGUGCAGAGGAAACAGGCGGCUGGUGGGUUGGGAAAAGCCGGUUUGAGCGGAGAGGGGAAGUUCCUCAAGAGCUUAUGCGUCAGCGCUUGAGUGCGAACAGAGGAAGGUGCGGCGAGGCAACGAUGGUGAAGGGAACUCCGGUAAGGGCUCUGGUACUCCCUUUUAUAGCUGCGCGGAAGAGAAAGAGAGUUCGAGCAGCGCGAAGAUCAGGUAGAAAAGGAUGGAGUGCUCUGUCGUGGCGGCGAUUGGUCGAUGCCUCCAUUGGCCGGCGAAGUGGAGCUUCGGGGACAGGAUGUUCGGUCAUUGGGCACUGGAGAUAGAGCUUGUGCAGGUGCGGUUUUGCCGGAGGGAAGGAUUGGCAAGGGCGAGCGCGGGUCUGGUCGCGUCAGGCGGCGGAUUGGGUGCGGCGGCUCAGCUAGCGUGCGGCAGGAAGGAAGGAAAGGGGCACUGCAGGCGAGGGCGCUGCAGGCGAGGUGACAGGGCGAGCGGCGACGCUAGCAGGCGCAGACCAGCGGCUUUGCCGGGGCACGCUACUGGCGAGGCGGGAAAAGGAGUUGUCCCUGCUGGAGCCGUGGUUGGCGAGGGCGGUAUCGUCGCGGGGCGCGCGCGUGGGCAGCGCAACUGAGGGGGCGACGGAAAAGCUGGAAGGCAUCGAGGCGCGCGGUCGGGGAUCCGGACGAGGUGAUGGGUGCGGGAGGCGAGGCGGUCUGGCGCGGCAACGGCCAAUCUUUGGUCGCAGCGGCGACAGGGCGUCUGGCGCGGCCGGCAACUGGGCGAGGCAGCGCUCGUCGGGGAGGUUGAGCCACGCGGCAGAGAGGCUCUGAAGCAGGGCGCACGCUGGCUCUGGCGUGUUUGACCCGAGAGGUCCGUGGGAUCUGGUUUUGGGUCCACCUUCCAGUCUCUGGCUCUCCCACAGCUCCAAAGUUUGGAGGAACACUGGCUUUCGGGACUUAGAGAGAACCGGCGGUUUGGCUAGGUUUCAGGGUCGGGCUGAGAACCGGACUUUAGGCGAUAAAGCUCAAGAAGAGCUGAGUCAACCGGAUUAGGGACUUGUCUUAAGAUUAACUCGGCUGAUUUAAAACCUGGGUCGUUACAGCUUCGACAGGGAAAUGCGGCGGACCGGGGAGUUGACCGGGCAGCUCGCCGCCGCCCAGCAGAACGCCGCAAACCUGCAAGCGCGGGAACAGGAGGCGCGGGAAGGCGCGCGGAGGGCGGAGGACAAGUUCCGAGCCGCUGCCGAGAAGGCCCAUGGUGACCUCGAGGAGCUUGCACGGUUGAGGAAGGAGCAUGAGGCCCUUCAGAAAACCGUUAAGCGCAUCCGGCACGAGCGACACACGGCUCGGCAGGAGCGCGACCUCGAGACGGGCCGGAAGGCUGAGGUCGAGAAGGUGGCGGCCGACCUUGGGGCGGAGGUUGGUCUGCCUCUAACCUAAAUAGCGUGCUCAAGGUGAAGUAAAAAUAAAAGACAGUUUUAUCAGAUGGUAACUGUUCCACGUCCGCGAAUGGAGGUAAAUGAGCUACUGGCCGAGUGAAUGGACGACUGCCGUCGGAUGGGAAAUGGAUGGGUCGUUUAACUGGGCGCCGAUAUGCUCUGCUCUUGCUCUGAAUCAGAAAUAUACUUUACAUUGCUCUCGUUCCAUAUAAACAAUUAUAUUCAAGUGAAAAAUAUAUAAAUUUUUAUGUUGUUUCAGUAAAUAAAAAAAGAUAUUGAUAAUAUAUUGUGAUACGAUUAAAUACAAUUAUUUAUGUUUAUUUAUUUGGAAAUAAAGCAAUAAAGAAACUACCUAAUAGCGCGGGCCAUCUAGGUAGUUAACGCAGAAUCAUAGAGUUCACAUGUACGGAGUUCUGGUACGUGCCUUGUCAAAUCAUGGGCCAAACAUGGCGUGAUGGCAUCCGAUGGCAGACGAUGAGAUUCCGGCCUUCGUGGGGAAAGGCAACAUUCGAGAAGAUUUCUGACGGGCAAAACAACCACAGCAGCCAAACAUUCGUCGAUCCAUCCCGACAUGAAGAGUAGACAUGCGAUUGCAGAAAAUACUCAUGAUUGAAAAGUUACAGCGAAAGCAGUAUAAGUAACCAAUUAAUUUCAGAACGGAACAAUGGUGCUCAUCAUUUUAUUCAGAGCGUGAAGCUCCUAACUCGAGCCAUCACCCUGCUAUAUUACAGCUCAAUAUAUUCAGUUAACACAAACUCCUGCACAGCACCAUUUCAUCGACGGUAUGUGAAACUGCACUUGAUUUUUACAUGUUACAUCAAAAAAGGAAAAUUUCAUGGUACGUAUCAUCAUAUAAGCAGCGAGCGAAGCUUUAGUUAAUACUUUUUACAGCUGCUAUGCUAGUCCCUACUGAACAGGCUGCGCAGGCUGCCGCGCUCCAGCCUCUCGAGCAGCUUCCUGGCGCCGGCGACGUCCAUGUCGGAGAGCUUCUUCAGGUACCCGAUGGCACCGUGCGAGAUCAUCAGCUUCUUGCACCGCUUCGCCGCCGACAGCGUCAGCAGGCACGCGAUGGCGUACUUCUUGGCCGUGUUGGCGGGGCUCGGGUCCAGCAGCUGCACCAGCCUCGGCACGCCCUUGUCGUCCUUCCUCACCUCCCGGGCGUUGGCAGGGCAACCCACCAGGCUCGCCAGCGCCUGCGCCGCCACCUCGCGCGCCCCGCUCGACUUCGCCUCCAGCAGCCGCACCAGCAGCGGCACGCACCCGUGCUCGCCGACCGCGCGCUUCAUCUCGGCGGUGCUGGAGAUCCGGCAGAUCGCCGCCGCCGCCGCCUGCUGCGCGCCGACUGGCCCGACCCUGAGCACGUGGACCAGCCGGGGCAGCACGCCCAGCGACACCAGGCUGUCGGGCGAGACGGCCCCCACGAGGUUCCGGA